rnacentral:lncRNA from 1 species
AAAGAGAAAAGGUAAAAAAAUUUUAUCUCUUUCUCCCGUUUCAAAAAAAAAAAAAAAAAAAAAAAAAAAAAAAAAAAAAAAAAGAGAAAAGAGAAUUAAAAGGCUUUCUCUCUCUCUCUCUCUCUCUCUCUCUCCUGUCGAAUCCUUCGCCGAACCCUCGCGAUCGUGCCCAAAUUCCCCCUCCGAUCCCUCCACGAAGGCCCCGACACCAUCGACGAGCUCCUGGAUCGCCACCUCGUGAAGAAGAAGAAGACGACAACGAACCACGGCGGCGGCGGCGGGGACGACGACGACGACGACGACGAGGAGCUCGCGCUGCGACGACGGCCGCGGCUCACGAGCACGCGGCGCGAGGCACUGGCGCUCCACCGCGACGCCCUGCGCGCGACGCGCUUCUUCGCGUGGCCCGACGCGCGCGGCGUGCCGUGGCGCGAUGUGCUCCGUGCCAACGUGCGCCGCGAGUUCGAGGAGGCACGCUUCGAGCGGGACCCCGAGGUCAUCGCCAAGCUCCUCAUUGGUGGCCGCGGCGUCGUCCAGAAGGCCCUCGGCAGGCUCGUCGACGCUAGCAAGAAGAUGGUCGACGCCGAAGCCCGGAAUCGUAGCGGAAGUGGGACGUGAAAUCGAAACCCCGACUCGAUAUGCUCUAAGGCCGCCCGCGUCGCUCCGAGACGCCUUGACCCGCGGCGCUCCGAGGCCGCUCCUCGCAAACCCAUGCUCCAACCUGAGGCGCAGCUCCCGGACCCGCUCCGAGACGCCUUGACCCGCGCCGCUCCGAGACCGCCCGUGUCACUCCUCGCCAACCCAUACCACAUGCGUUGCUUCGAGACACCCCGACCCGAGGCGCCGCUUCUCGACAAUCUCCGCGCGCAUGGCCGCGGACUUCGCCUCAAACUCCUCCGCGAUGGCAUCGACUCCGACAUCACCGCAAGCCGCCGUCGCCGCCGCUCCUUGACCUCUCUGCGCGCAUGGCCGCGGACUNGCCAUGUAAUUGAGCAAUAAAUUAUAAAUUUUCUUUUGUCCAAUUCCAGUUUAUCUUCAGCAUUUCAGAGGUCUCUUAAUCGAAGGUGCCCUAAUAUUCUAUAGGGGUAAUUAACAAUAGACGCUUGCGUUUAUUGGAAGCCAUGGAUCCGCAAUACCUGAUAACCAUACAUAUACAUACUUUAAUCUACAUCAUGAAUACUACCCCACGGUAAAAAUCAAAGAUAAAAAUUCACCGUGCGAGGUGCGUCAUUCGUGGUGGCAGACAACUAUCUUCUCUCUCUUCUUCGUCUUCCUUUAAGGGCUUUGCCAGCCCACUGAUUCGACAGCAACGAUGGGAUAGCUAUAUUUUUUCUUAAUUUUUUGAAUAUAUUGAGAGAGAUGGUGGAGAUUGCUUGAGUCUUUCUCUUCUCUUCUCUUCUGACCUUCUAUAGGUUUUCUAUAAAUAGACUAGCCAUUUCAGGACAGUACGAAUUGUUUUUGUACACAAAUAUAAAGGUGGGAUAAAGGUCUUUUUGGAGCAUAAAAUAUAAAAAUUGGCAUUUUAUUACUACAUAGCUGUUAAUCUCCUGCACACCGUAACUUUUCUACAGUCUAAUGUUUAAUCUCUUGAACACCAUCAAUUUUCUACAGUCUUUUGUUACUUAGGUGCCUAUAAAAUUCUGUCUUUCUAAGGGUAUUUUCCUUAUUUUUUCUGAUUUUCGUUUUUUUGAUUUUUGAAUAUCAAUCUUUUUUUUUCCCGGAUUUUGGGCGUCCUAUUCAAAGGCAUCCCUUUCCUACAUGUUUAGUUUGAUUCCUACUAGUUUAUUUUAUUUUUAUAAUUUUUUCUGAUCUUUCGUUUUUUUAAUUACUGGUGGUUUUUUAAAGUUUUUUUUAGGCUCUGUUUAUAUGUAAGUGAGAAAAAAAAUUGCUUUGCCGUUGCCAUCAUUGCCUAGCAGUUUUUUUAGAUUGCUGGUGGUUUUUUUAAAUAUUUUUUAAGGCCCUGUUGAUGUGCAAGUGAGAAAAAAAAAAAGGCUCUGCCAUUGUUGAGCAGGUUUGGAAGGCCCGCUUGCCUCCACGAAUGCACUUGGCUCCUUCUUUGGUGCUUCAUUUGUCUUUUUCGCAUGGACAAUUAUACAUGCUGGCUUUAACUGUUGCGUACUUAUUUUCAUAAUCUGUACUAGAUAACUUUGUAUGUUUACAUUAUUUAUUUAUUUGUUAUCUGCAUGUUCUUGACAUUUUUAAAAAAAUUUCGGCAAUGGUGAUGUUACCUGGCAAUAAGGAGAUUGAGCCCUGCACAGUCAAUUUGAUUCCUUGAUUCCUUGGUCGGCUUACACCCGUUUUAAUAGGCUUUCAUCGGCUUAGAUCAACAUUGUUUAGCAUGUGUAUGUAUAUUAUUUUAAAAGCUUUAGCCUUCAGGUUUUAGUAUUGUUUUGCAUCCACAUAUAUGUAUGUUCAUAUGCAUAUUGGACUAUUCCACCUUUCUUCCGCCAAGCCCUUUUCAAUUUUUGUCUUCUUGCCUUUUCAAACGAUUGUCUGAGAUGCUAAAUUCAUAAUUUUUUUACUUUGCAUAUAUACGGAAAAAAUGUCUAAUUAUUAUUCUCAUUGAUUUGUAGAUUUGAUGAAGCUUCUCAAGAAGAUCAAGUCAAGAAAUGAAGAAUUUCAGUUUACGUUUCAGUCCAUCUAUAUAAUUCUAUUUAUAAUUAGACGCUUUGUUAUCCACUAAUCUAACUAUUUUAAACAUGUCUCCAUGUAGUUAAAUAUAACUAAUAACAGUUCUACUUGCAUUUUCUUUGUUCUAUUAUUUGUUUUGUAAGCACUUUGUUAUUCGCUUACCAAAUUAUUAUAUCAGUGCUACUUAGAUUUACGUUUUGAUUUUUGUUUUAAUAAAAAAGAAAUUAGAUACACUAACCAUUAUUUGGUUAUCCGCCGCGAAGCGCGGGUCCUUUACUAGUAUAUAUAUAUAGUACGUCUCCAGUACUUUCGAAAGUACGGAGACCUCCGGGCUUGUAAGUUAUUUUCGAUGAUAGGACAUCCGAUUCGACGAUCGGCUCCGCUAAGUAUAAUCUACCCUAUUGGAACUAUCUAAAAACCAAAUUUUAUAAUUUUUUGACAUCAUUUACCAAGCGAUCAAAAGGUCUCAAAAAUGACUAUUUUAACGGCCGAUGUGGCAUGUUUUUAAGUUCAACGGUGUAGAAGUAUCCAAAUUAUACAAAAAUUUAAUAGAAAAUUCUACUUAACAUCAAUAGUAAGAUAAAUACCUCUGAUUUGAAAUUUGAGUCGUUUAUCACUAUUUUUUAUGAUAUUUUUAUUUUCGGCCGUUCAUUUUGAGGCUACUCGUUCACUAGACAAACGAAAUCAAAAAAUUAUGAAAUUUGGUUUCUAGAUAGUUCCAAUAGCGUAGAUCAAGUUUAACAGAACCGAUCGCCAAAUCGGAUGUCCCAUCAUCGAAAACAACUUACAAGCACGGAGGCCUCCGUACUUUCAAAAGCAUAGGAGCCUAGCUCUCUCUCUCUCUAUAUAUAUAUAUAUGUAGUGUUCCUGAAGUUUGGGUAUGAUUGGCUACAGUAUUAGUGACUGGUCGACACAUCUGGAGAGUGUCGGACUGAGUCGGAGUCGUUUCUGCACGAAAUGGAUGCAGACUCGGCGCACUCAAAUAAGCAAAACUGGAGUUUUGCCAGAUUCGGGCGCCCAGAAUAGGGUUUGGGUCGCCCAGAAGUUGAGGGUAGAACUGAACAGAACUGGAAGCCAAUUUGGAUCCAUGUUUCAGGCGCCCGGUUGUGGGUCCGAAAAUUCACCUCGAGAGUAUUGUUUGCACUAACGCGUGGCUGGUGGUUGGUGAGGUCCGCCGGAGCCAGAUAUAGGCGCAACACACCGCGGGUAGAGGAACCGAAAGGGAGCUUUUGUAUAGCCUAGAGGUUUCGGAUGCCUAGAAGCAUGUUUUGGGCGCCCGAAUGUGAGGAUUUCUGUAGGGAUACCAGAUUUGCAGCUGUUGUUCCUGGGGCUUAACUGACCAUUCUACCACCCUAUAAAUAGAUUGAACUCGACCCCUGUGAGUUCUUUUCCUCCUUUCUUCACAGAGAAGCCACUUUUUGCAUCUUAGUCCCUCCAAUUACUCGAAAUUACACCAUUUCCACCUUGAGGAUUUUAGUUCUAGCAGUUUUCUAGCAGCGACUGUCGGCGUUUCGGCUCGUGUGCGACGUAGGAAGCUCCAUUUUCCACGAAACUUGGUUUGUUAGAUUCAGUACCUCAAGAGGAAUCCGUGGAGUCCAAAUUGACAGAAAUUGAUUAAGGUUAGCUUGGUCUAUUCUGUGUUUUACUGUGUUGCUGGUGUUUUGGACUAAAUCUGUGAAUUUGUGGAUUUUCAUGGUGCAAGCUUUGGAGGCAGUGGGUUUUUGGACCUGAGAUUGAUACUCCAGUAUACUCCACUGGAUUUGGGACCUACCUUCAUCGAAUUGAGCCUUAGAAGGUAAUUUUGACAUUGGAGUUGAGUGAAAUGGAAGCUUAAGUGCUGAAUUUUUGGAGUAUUGAGGGAUUUUGAUAUUUUUAUGUAGAGAGGAUUGGUUGCUGGUUCUUUGUGUUUACGGUUGGACUUAGCAGGAAUUCUAGCAACUUCGUGACCCCUUGCUACCGUGGAUUUAUCGUUUGAGGUGGGUUAAUUAUCGAUUUUGCUCCUAAGUGCACGCAUUGUCGACAUGUAUAUUUUCAGCUUUUGUAUACUAUGUGAUUAGCUUGAAUUUAUCGAUUAGCAUGUUAAUGAAAAUCUGAAUUUGAAGCAUGCUGAAAUGAGUUAGUUAAAUAAUACAUGUUGGACUUGGACUUGACUUAGGAGAUAACUGGCGCUUCUACACUGUUAUAUGUUAAAACUACCAGAUUUAGCUCUAGGAGCCGUAGUUUGAUUGUAUCCCCGCGAUUUGUGGGCGGUGGAUAUUCUGGAUAGUGUAGAUUAUGUUUACGCUCGGGCCGAGAUGCCGAGCUUAUUUUUACAGCAGUGUUUAGACUAUUCCGGACUGUCGGGUGCCAUUAAGGAUGACGGUGGACUAGGGAUGCAAAUGGAUCCGGGUUGGUGGAGUUCCGCCCCGAUCCGCCCCGAAUGGGGUGGUAAGUGGGAACAAAAAAUAUAAAAAAAUAUAACCCGCCCCGAAUCCACCUCGAUCCGCCAAGUAAAUGGAGCGGGAGGUGGGAGACUCUUUUCUUCCUUCAAUCCACCCCGAUCCAUCAAAAAUCCGGCACCCGCCCCGAUCCGCCCCGAAUGGAGCGGUAAGUGGGAGCCAAAAAUAAAAUGAAAAGUAACCCGCCCCGAAUCCGCCCCGCCCCGAUAAGAAAUGGAGCGGGAGGUGGGGGAACUCUCCCGCCCCCGGAUCAGCCCCGUUUGCAUCCCUACGGUGGACCCAGAUUGCUGUUGUUGCAUCAGAUUGUGCCGAGAGUACGUGAGUUGGUUGUUAGACCAGUUGGACCCUAUUUAUUUGGAUCUUAACCUGUGAGAGCCUGAUUGAGCGCGACAGAGAUACGCUUGCAUACUCGGUUGGAUAGCGCCCAUGAGUGCCACUCCGGAAUCGGGCUUUGUGCGUUUGCGUUGGUGUCGUUGUGUCCUGAUUGGACUUGCUCUCCACUGACUGCUUAGUGUGGAGGUAGCGUUGGCUUUGGCAGGCGGGACGGAUGUGUUCACAGUCUCUAGUGAGAUUGGGUCAGGAUUUACUUUUCUACAGAUUGUUAGUGUUAGAGCAUGAUAGAAUAGUUGUAUUUAGCUGUAGAUUGGUUCCAGCUUUUCUUACUAUCCCUGCUUACUUCUAUAGACUUGAUAGGUGAACCGAUGAGUUUGAGGGCGGUACCCACUGAGGACCUAUGUUAGUAAAUUCGCGAAUUAUUCACGAAUUUUUGAAAAAACGAAUUAAACGACCGAAUUCGUAUUUUUCCAAAAAAUUCGGAAAAAAAACGUGAUUAUUUUGAUAAAAAAACGUAUUCGCGUAUUAUACGCGGGCCGAAUAAUUCGGAGCGAAAAAAACACGGCCCGCUUGCGCUCCCACGCCGCGCGCUCUCCCGCGAGGCCCGCGCGCCCCUGCGACGCCCGUGAGGCCUGCGAGGUCCGCGCGUGAGGCCAGCGCACGCCUCGAGCGCCUCGAGCGCCUCAAGCGCCCGUACCUUGGUCCUUAUUAAUUAACUUAAUUUAAUUAAGUUACAGAAAAAAAAACUCUUAAUUUAAUUACAGAAAAAAAAACUUUUUUCAAAUUUUUUACUUAAUUAACUUAAUUUUGUAUCUUUUUAUUCUUAUAUUUUUAAGAAAUAUGAGUAUUUAUGCUAAUAACAUAAAUCUUGAGAGAAAAAAAAUUUUAAUUUAAUAGCCAAAUUUUUAAUCCCGAAUUUUUAAUUGAUGAACAUAUAAUAUCCGUAUAAAUCACGUAUCCGAAUAAUUGACGAAUCCAUUUUUAGCCGUAUUUUUUAACGAAUUUAAAAUUUAAAAGACGAAUUUUAUCCGAAUUAUACCCGUAUCGAAUUUUUGCCGAAUCCGAAUUAACUAACUAUGCUGAGGACUACUUCUUUUGCAGUAGUUCUCACGCCCAGUUGUUACCCCUGUUUUUGCAGAGCCGUCGUCUUCGGCUGCUGCUAUUGCUGAUUCUGAGCGUGGCAAGGGCGUCGCGAGUUAGAACCCUUCCAGACGAGCCAAAGCUAGAAGAAUACCAGCUACAGGUAGUUGUAGUUUUUGGUCCUUUACAUAUAGAUGUUGUACCUCGUCUGAGCGAGUAUUUUGUACCCAGAUGCUAUGUAUGCAUAGAACCACUGUUUUAUAUAUGGUUUAUUUUUCCUACCAGCUCUAUAUUACUGUUUGUAGUGUUGUAUGAUUACAGGUACUGUUACUGUUUUGCUUCUUAUACAGAAAAAAUUUCUAUAUAUACGGCGGGUCUGUUAACGUGCCCAGAGUAUUUGGAGUACCUAGAAAAUAAAUUUUAUUAUUUUUCGAUAUCAUUUGCCUAGUGAACGAAUGGGCUCAAAAUCAACAAAUUUCAAUGGUCGUAGUGAGCCGUCUGCAAGUUUAACGGUGUAGAAAUAUCCAAAUCAGGUGAAAUUUUGAUAGAAAAUUCUUUAUACUAUAUAAAACAAGAUCAAUAUCUUUGAUUUAAAAUUUUAAUGUCAUAUUAUCAUAUUUUGUAAGAUUUUUAUUUUCAGCCGUUGAUUUUAAGCCCCUUCGUUCACUAGGCAAAUGAUAUCGUAAAAUCAUAAAAUUUAUUGUUCUUAAAGGAUACUUCAAAUACCUAGAUCAGUGUUAAACGGAGCAGCGAAAUCGACACUUCGGAAAAGUACUGAACAUCAAGAACGAGUGAAGCACGGAAAGCUCCGAUGUUCCGAUAGCCAAAGUAGCUACUCUAUAUAUAUAAUAAUAUUUAAUAUAUAUAAUACAUAAAUAUAUAUAAUAAAUAAUAUAUAUAUAUAUAAUAUAAUUAUAGAAGACUAAGAGCUACAAUAAAUUCAUAUCAUAUAAGUACCAAGAAAAUCCACGGUACAUAUAGUGUUGGUUUUCGAUCUUAUAGAAGAAGCGAUUAGAAACUCUAAAAGAAUCCGACACCGUUAAAAACUGAAUCAUAGGGUAAUUUAAAAGUUUCUAGAUAAAAUGUUAUAUUUUUCGCAAUAGUUUAAUGAUACUAUUGAUCAAAAACUAUUUCAAAUUGUCAUCUUUUAAAUGACAUAUUAUAAUACGACGAUUAUGGAGUUUAUAAACGGUGUAGAAAAUAAAUCUAAUAAUAAUAAAAUUUAUAGGUUUUGAUUGUUAUAUAAUAUUUAAUACUCAUAUAGAUUAGGUUAACAUAUCUUGAUCUUGAGUAUAAAAGAUUCUAUACUUCAAUUUUAAUUAAGAUUAAUUUUCAUUAUCUUCGUCCAUCUCUUGAUAUUUUUUUUAUUAUAGUAGAGACUUGUAUUUCGAUAAAACUAAAUUUAUAAUUGCUAAAUUUAUUUAUACCCUUAGAUCAUAAUAUUAACGGUGAUGAUUCGUUUAUUUUGAAGCCUAAGAUUUUAUAUAAAAACAAAUAAUUAGUACUGGAGCUCGAUAAUUAAUAUAGAUAGAUAUGUAUGUAACCUCAUCAUAAUUAAUAUAUAAUAAUAUAUUAUUGUUUAAAUUAUAUAUUAUAAAAUUUUAAAUCGAUUAUAAUAUACUUUUCUCUCUUACUUAUGUUUCUUCUUCUCGUCUCAAAAUAAUAAUAUAUAGGAGAGAGAGAGAGAGAGGAGAGAGGAGAGAGCUAGGACUCCUAUGCUUUCGAAGUACGGAGGACCUCGUACUUAUAAUUGUUUUCGAUUGAGAGCACAUUCUGAUUCAGCGAUUGGUUCUUUGACAUUGUCUAUGCUAAUUGGAACUAAUCUAGUAAACCAUUAUCAUAAUUUUUUGACUUCGUUUCCUAUGUGAACGAGUAGUCUCAAAUGACGGCUAUGAAAAUAAAUCUUAUAAAAAAAUAUAAAAGGACUCAAAUUUCAAAUAGGAAGUAUUUUUCUUAUUGCUCUUUGAUGUUAGUAGAAUUUUCUAUUAAAGUUUCAUGUAAUUUGAGAACUUCUACACGUUGAACUUCAAAAAUGUGCGCAUCGGCCUUGUUAAAUAGUUUCAUUUUGAGAUCUUUAUCACUUGAUAAAAUGAUAUCGAAAAAAUUAUAGAAAUUUGAGUUUCUAGGAUAGUUCUAAUAGCAUGAUUAUACCUAACGGGAGCCGAUCGUCAAAUGCGAAUGUCUUCAUCGAAAACAAAUUACAAGCACGGAAGCCUUCGUCUUUCGAAGCACGGAUUAAUAUAAAAUUAGUAUUUUUGAGAUCACUUUGAUCGCUUUGAUAAAUGAUUUAUCGAAAUUAUGAAAUUCGGUUUCUUUAGAUAGUGUCUAAAGCAUAAGAUUAUAACCUAACGGAGCCGAUUCGUCAUCGAAUGUCUAUCAUCGAAAACAAUAUUACAAGCACGGAUAAGCCUUCCGUAACUUUCGAAGACGGGAGAUUAUAUUAAAUAAUAUAUAUAUAAUAUAAUAUAUAUUAUUAUAUAUAAUAAUAUAUAUAUAUUAUAUAUAUAUAUAUAUAUAUAUAUAUAUAUAUAUAAUAUAUAUUAUAUGUGGUACACUAUUAAUAGCCACCAAGUUGUUGGUGUAUUAGUUUUUUAGCCUUGGAUUGAGAAAUAUGCGGUCUAGGUUGAUGUGGGCUGCUAAGGGUUGAGUGGUUCGUGGGUGGUUGAAUAGUAUAUCUAAGAGUGUAAAAAUAAUCAAAGGGCGGGUUAUUUAAUGGCAGAAAUUUGAUAGCACCAAGUGUUAGGUCGUACGAUAGCAUAGCAGGGACUUCUCUCUCUCUCUCUCUCUCUCUAUAUAUAUAUAUAUAUAUAUAUAUAUGGCUAGGGCUACUAUACUCUUAUGAAUAUAGAGCCCUUCGUACUCAUAAGUUGUUUUCGAUGAUGGGGCUUCCUAAUUGACGAUCCAUUCCGUUAAAUAUGAUCUAGAGUAUUUGAAACUUCUAGAAAAUAAAUUUCGUAAUUUUUCAAAAUCAUAAUAAAGUCCAUCAAGCGGGUAUAAAAUGAACGGUUAAAAUCGAACGAUGUCCAAAAAAUAAAUGUUCGGAUGCUUCAAUUUAAGAUCGGAGUUAUUGAUAAUUAUCUAUGUAGUGAAUAGAAUUUUCUAUCAAAAAUUCAACUGAUUUCGAUUCUUUUACACCGUUAAACUAGCAAAUAUCUCAUAAAUUGUUAAUUUUGUGACCAUUUGAUCGUAAGGUAAAUGAUGUCGAAAAAUUAUAAAAUUUGAUUUCUAGACGUUUUAAAUGCUCUAGAUAACGUUUAAUGGAGUGGAUCGCCGAUUCGGAAGCUCCAUCAUCGAAAACGACUUAUGAGUACGAAGGCGAUCGUACUCAUAAGAGUAUCGUAGCCGGACUCAUAUAUAUAUAUAUAUAUAGAACUAGACUGGAAUAAUAUCAAUAGUACCAAGUUAUUAGUGCUAUUGAUUUUUUAGCCCUUGGAUUGAGAAAUGGGUGGUUAGUAUGAUGUGGGUCUCCUAGGGUUGAGUGAGUGGUUGGUUGAAUAGUAUAAUCUAACGGGUAAAAAUAAUCAUAGGGUUAAAUCUAACGGUGGAAAACUCGAUAGUCGUUUUCGAUGAUGGAGCUUCCGAAUCGGCAAUUCACUCCGUUAAACUGUCACGCCCCGAGGCCGAUUUUAAAAGCCUUUUUAAAAUUCAUUACCAUUUUGAAAACAGAGUUGCGGAAGACAUGCAAUUUUUUUUUUUUUUUCAACUUGGCCCACGUGACGUACAGACCCGCCACAAAUACAAAGUUUCUCUGUCCACUCGGACAAAGUCUCAUUUGAAUUUGCACGGCGUACCAACGAUACAACAGGAUCACAACCACAACCUACAUUUACCAAUCAACAACCAAUUCAUGAUAUGCAUUUUCAUACAGCUAACAAUCCUUAGAGAUGAUGCAUGCCUCUAAGCACUCCUUAGGCGCUGGAUGAUGCAAUGCACAGUAUAACAAUCAUCCUAUUUAAAAGUGCUCGCCACACGGAAGCUUUAUUUUUAAAAUCUAAUUCAUUCAUACAUGAAAACCAUUUGAAACCUUUUGAAAACUGUUUCCACACGGAAACUCUGUUUUAAAAACCGACUACCUCGAGUGGUAGAAAACCACGAAGCGUAAAUCCAUAAAUACAAAUCCGAGAGCCAUAAAGUAUACAAACAUCCCAAAACUGAAGAUCCAUAAUCACAUGCAUAGUAGGAAAACCAACUCAUCCAAACAUUCAAACAAUCAUAAAGAUUAGCUAACUGAACCAUUAUUUAAAUGUCUACUAAAAGCAGGAAAGAAAUACAACCAGGGUGGCGAUCGCUAUACCAGACUAGCUAGAUCGUCCUCUCGUCGAGCCCAAAAUCCAACUCCUUGUCUAUGUCACCUAGGGGGAAAUGGGGGGUGAGAAACCGCAACCAUGGUUUUCUCAGUGGAUACGACAGAGCCACGAAGGCAAGCAGUAAUUACCGGAAACCAAAGGAGAUAGAUAAACAAGUAUAUAUAUGCUGAUAUGAAACAGAAGUACAGAUAUGAACAUGAUAUGAUAUAAGAGCGAUUACAGUAGUAAUAGAAAUAAGAUACUAACUGAGCAAGAAUAAAACUACUACUGUAAUAAAAACUCAACUGAUCAGAUGCCUCAAAGGUGAAUAGUCCAAAACCAAACCCAAUCUGAUACUGCUAUAUUGGUCCGCAGACCUCAAGCGCUGCCUGUCACUAACUGCAUCGACCUGAUCCAUCCGCCCCACAGGACGACCUAUCCGGAUAAGUACACCUCCGAUCGGUGGCCAAACCGAUCCGGUGUCAUGAAUACCCCCAAGUGCUGUGACUAAGUCAUGCUGGUAUGCUCAAACAAAAACCGGCUGAAGCCGGUGCCUAGGCCGAAGCCAACAACAAGGGCGCACAACGCCGAACUAUGAUAGAUGCUAGGGCGUACAAUGUCGAAUCACGAUCAACCAUAUCGAAACACACGACAAAGGAGUCGAUGUGUUGCCUCGACCCAAGGUCCACAGAGAUACAAAGUAUAAAUGCAAGCCUGCUCUACAUGUCUAUCCACACCUAUCCAAAUGCAAUCAAUGAGAUAGGAUAACCGAACGAUAAACAAACAACGACAUGUAGAGACUAUAAUGCUAGAAUAGAAAAACAGAAUGAGGUGAAACGCUCUCACCGACUACCAGCUUGAAGCACCCACCUGUCACUGUCGCGUCGGAACACUGGGUACGCACAAGUCGACCGAACUAUGAAGAUCCAACGGGUCAGUAACCAACCCACUCACCUGAAGUACACUAUCUCACAAACCCCACACAGAACCCCGUAUCGGUUUCCCAAAACCGAUCAUCGUAACUCACCGGAAGUCCCGAAAAUCACACCGGGACGCCGUCAGGACCCACUAAGUGUCCCGAAACUCACCGACUCAUGUCACGCGUCAUCCGCUGCCAGAAAACACUCCGAUUUGGAUGUCUUGGCAGCAAACACGAGGUAACACCACUAUACAAUUAUCGCCGGAUAAUUGUACGAAUCUGGGUUCUCGAAAGUGUCUAUUUCGACACUGGAACCCACCGUCGCUCACCCAUCAUCACCGAACCCACAAAAUGAUGAUGGUGACCAGCCAACAAGGCUCAGGGAUAAUUUACAGGAUAACCAAGCCACGUCGGACGAAAUCUGAACCGAAACCGCAUUUUUUCGGCGAAUUUUGCCGAAAAACGCGCCGGAAUCGACUUUUCGAUUUCCGCAAAAGCUAACGGAUCAUGGAAAAUCAGUCCAAAGGUCAAACACACUCUUACACACUGCCCACAGUAGCCAAAAGGUGUACAAUUGCACAAUAGCCCCUGUAUUUACAUAAAAUCCCAAUAUUUUAUGUAAAUUGGGCGAUAACAUGGCUCGUUCACGCAAACUGAGGACUUAUAAAUUUCGCCGAGACAUGUACUGAUAAGUCUCGACGUGCCGGAGGCCGUGCUCACGGUCUAGAGCGCAAUAGGUCACUGUGGGAAGCGCGGGAGCAACCCAAAGUUCUGCGAACAGCGCGCAGUCGGGGAAGAUCGCGCCAAACAGGGCUAACCAGACACUGUUGAUCCAAAGUGAGGUGAGCAUUGUGAUCAGCACUGGCCAACGAUCACCGUGCUCACCUCCGGAGGCAUCAAGACAACCUCGGAUCGCCGGAUAAGCAUGCGCAAACCCAAAACAGCAGCCAAACAGGCUCGACAGGGUCGACACCGCCAAAACAGCGGAACGGAGUCUCCCCGACAGAAUCUAAGGUGAGCACGAUGAUCAGAAAUUUGCCACGAUCAUCGUGCUCCCUUCCGUAGAGAUCAGGGAGGCUCGGGAAGCUCAGAACAGUAACGUAUCCCAAAUAAGCCCUAUUUCGGGCUUGGCCGGAGCAAGGUUGCUCCGGCCGGCUUCCGGCAGCACGGUGGCAUGCGCGGCGGCCAGGGACGGGUGCGGGUGAGGAAAGGAGUGUGGUGCUCACCUCGGUUUGCGGCGGAGGGUGGCGGCGGUAACGGCGGAGCAAGCCGAGCCCGCACUAGUUAGAACUCGGAUUCCAGCGAAGCUGCGGCCACGGCGUCGGCCGGGGCUCCUCGGGGACGACGGUGGCAAGUCCCCAACGGUCGGAGGAGGAGGAGGGAGGUGGCGGGCGACAGCGGCGGUGGCCCGCGGCUCGGGUGUGGCCGCCCGAGCUUGGCUCGGUCCGCAGGUUGGGGCGGCGGCGCCCAAGGCACGCGGCGGCGGCGACGACCCGCAGAGGCGGUGGCGACCGGCCGGGGAGGGUCGCCAGGCUCCGGGGANGCUCAGCCUAGCUGGCAGCAAGCAGCAAUGGCGGCGAUGGCGGCGCUCGGCGACGGUUCGGGGCGGCGGGGCCGGCGGCCAGUGGUUGGGGAAGGGUGGAGGCGGCCGAGGGGGGGGGUUUGAGUGCUCCUCCUUAGCUCGGGUCCAUGAUGGUGGAGAGGAAAGUGGAAACAAGAGAGGGAGAGGAAGGAAAAGAGGCUGAGGUGGCUGCGGCCGGCCGGAGCUCGGCUGGCGGCGGCCAGGAAGCGCACGGCUAGGGCAGGGAGGAGGGAUGAGGGUGGUAGGGUGUGGCUAGGGUUAACUAGGGAUGAUCUAGGGCUCGGAUCCCAAUUCCUGCUCAUAACCUAUUCCGAGUUUUAAUACAUUGAUUAAUUAUACACUCCUCUCAUCUAAGGGGUGAGUUUGUAUACUAGUAUUAUCAAACCUUUUUUUAAUAUUAAAAUUGUAAAAAGAGUGUUUAAACUCUUAGAAGGAGAGAUAUAGAUUUACACUAACUUUUUAGAUGUACAAAUAACAUUUCUUUCCACCAAAUAAUAUGAAACAAGAUUAAAUGGCUACACUACAACAAAAACGGUCAAUAGCGACACUUUUAAAUGUAGGUACAUGUCAAAAAAGUGCUGCUAGCUAAAAUUACCGACACUUUUAAAAAGUGUUGCUAUAUGUGGGGUCGCUAGGUAUAUAGUGACAGUUAAAGAGUGUCGCUAUAACCUAAAAGAGUGCUGCUAAUUUAUCAACACUUAUUUAAGCAUUUAGCAACCGCCGAAACUCUACCUCGUUGGCUGCGGUGGCGGAGGAGAACAACAGAAAAGGCUCUUCGCCUAGAAUUUCAGUGGAUUGAGUGAAGAGAGAAGAAAAGAUGGUAAUUGAUUUUUCUUUUUUUUUUGUCUUUUCUGUUUGUAAUCGGGCCAAAUGAACUAGGUGUGGUGGGUUGAGUAGAGUAAUCUUUUAUUUUUGGUUGGAUUGGGCUUUAUAUUUAAGCAUUAGUAGAUGUUUUUUUAAGUUUUAGUAUAAAUGGGACACUUACUCAAAAGUGUCCUAAACAUGUGUCCCUAUAACCUAAUUCUGUUGUAGUGCUAGCGAAAUUUUCUUUCAUAUUUUAUAUUCAACAUUCCUCACGUAUAAGCUCUCCCAUAAAUUUGAAUUAGGAAUGGUAUUUUUAUUUUUUAUAUUCCACACUCCUUGAUAGGAUUUGAAAUCAGAUUUUUUUUUUUUCGCUCUUAUAUUAUGUGGAAUAAUAUUUAUCUUCAAAAGCUUAAGUUGCCAGAGAAUAAUAUUUUUACAUUUUAUAUUUGGCACUAUCAGUUGAUUCAGUAAAAUGUCAAACUAUUAGCAACAAUUCUUAUCCAAAGGAAGGGAAAAAAAAAAAGAAGACAAUUCGAACACCUCUUCCCAAAAUGUAACAUUUACGCAUGCAGUAUUAGCUUGGCACUGUAUCUCAUUGAACAAAUCAGUUUUCUUUCCUCAAAAACCCAAAAAAAAAACAAAGAAAAACAAAAAAGAAAUUCUUUCUACGUGGUAAGUGUCUAAACCUACUAAGCUCUAUUGAGAUCCUAUUUAGAACCAAAAAAAAAAAAACACUAAAAAACGGUUAAUCGAAUCUUUCCGAUGUGUUCAAAUGCUUAAGCUCCAUUAUUAGUAUGAUCAUUGCAGUGCAUUUUCUUUGAGCUUGGCCAUAAGUAGAUGUGCAACUGAUUUGUAACCUUGCUCGCGAGCUGUAAUUAGUUUGGUGACAAAUUAAGCAACAAUUUAGGAUCAAAUAACACAAAAUGAAAUAUCUGAUAAAAUUGCUUGUGUAGGAAUAGUAGUGACAUGAAUAUAUUACCUUGAUAAAUGGCAAUCCCAGUAGGAGCCAUCUUUCUCUUCUUCAAGCAAAGAGAGCUAUGUACAGCAAAAAAAGAAAAAAAAAAGAAUCAGUAAUAAUGCAAUCAUAAGCCUCUACUUAGGGGUGUAAUGUGGAGCGUGCCGCGCCGGCACGGCCCACAUUAAGCCAGGCCGAAACGGGCCGGAGGCCAGCCCGGCAUGACCUGGCCCCAAAGUCGGGCAAUGCCCUGCCGGGCUGUAGUUCUUGGACCCCGGCCCAACACGGACCCCGCCCGGACGGUACGGCCGUGCCGGGCUUCGAGCAAGCCCUUUUAAUUAUUUAAUUUUAUUUAAAAAUAUAUAAAAGUUUUAAAAAAUAAAAAUAUAAAAAUAUUAUUUUUUAAAAAUAAUAUAUGAGAAUUUUUUUUUUCAAAUUUUAAAACAUAUUUAUAAAAAAUAAUAAAAUUUUAAAAUUAUUUAAAAAUUUUAAAUAUUUUUUGGACCAAAAUACCCUCCUCCCAACAAUCAAAAAUUUAACUGUUGGGGAGAGUAUUUUGGUCCAAAGGGGACCAAAAGCCCAACUCCCAAGGUGCAGGCCCGGCUGGCUGACUACCAACUCCCAAAGCAUUCGGAGUUAGGAGGCUUGGGAGAGGGGCUGUGUGGCUCGGUAGGCACGGCCAUACGGGGCACGCCGUGCCGAGCCGAGGCCUCCCCUCAGGCCCGGCAUGGCCUAGGCCAGUGUCGUGCCGGGCCAAUGGGCCACAGGGAGGCGGCCCAGCACGACCCGAUUUAUCAGGUCAGGCCGACCAAAUACGAGUGCUACAGUACUCAUGCCGUGCUUUGGUUCGGCCCAAUAUCAUGCCGGGCCGCCCGGCCCGUUUUACAACCCUACCUGUCGCGGGGGCCACCCAGCCCGUUUUACACCCCUACCUCUACCGCAAUAAUUACAAAUUAGAAUAUGCUAAAAAAAGAAAACAAAUUAUGGAUUCCUCUCAUGUGACUGGGGAGGAAGUUGAUGAUCAACUCUCCUCACAAAGAUUACUUUUUAAUUUUUAGUGCAUUAUACUCUAAAAGUGAUUCAACCAACGCGGUGUCUACACUAUUGAUGGUUGAAAAAAUAAAGUUGCAGGUGCUUAGCUGCCUAUGGAUGCCAAGUUGGGUUAGGACACCUGUAACGAUUCAACCUACUAGUAUUAAUUAUAACUCAUCGGACACAAACUAUUGGUCCAAAAUACUUAAGCUCCUUUAUUAGUACGAGUACAUUGGAUCAUCACAUGGGAUAUUAAAGCCGGUUUACCAGCUGAAAGUGUGAGAUGAAUGAAUCUCCUAUCGCAUGGUAAUAUCUUGGACUAAUGAAUGACUAGAAAAUGGUACCAGAAGAAGACACAAGAGUCUAAACAAAGGAAGUCUGUGAUAAUCCAAUACCCCUAUAUCGUGUGAAAAAAAAAAAGACUUGUGCUUAUUUACCACCUACUAUUAUUUAUUUUUUUUAAAUUUAUUUGAAAUUAUCAAAAUAUCUUUAUAAAAUCCAAAUCUAUUAGUAAACCUAGGGAAAAUAGGGAUAUCUGAAGAAAUUUUUGAAAAAUCAACAAGAAUAUUUUGGUCUUUUAGGAAUAAAUAAGAUAUUUCUGAAGUUUUAAAAACAUACAAGAUAUUAUCUCAAAAAAAAAAAGAAUAUAAGGAAUUAGGUAGGGCUAGCAAAUGAGCGAGCACUCGUGUUCGGCUCACGUUCAGCUCAGUAUUUGGCUCGAUGUUAAGAAUUUGAAGCGACUCGUUUAGGGCUCGAGCUCGCUCGACUCAUAGUUAGGCUCGCUCGAGCUCGGUUUGAAUUAAUUUCAAGCCGAGCUUGAGUCUAAAUUUAAGCUCAAUAUUAAUUUCAAACCAAACUUCAGCUGAGAUAAGCUCGUGUGAGCUCGGCUCGUUUCCACCCCCCAUAAUUAGGGAUCCUGAUAAUAAUAACUGAAUUUAAGUAUUUUUGGGUAGUGGUUUGAACUCAACGAAUUACUAACGUUAGUUUUGAAGGUACAGUUUCCCCCAAAGGGUUUUGUAGCUAAGUUGAUGAUGAUGAUGAUGUUUACCUGUUACAUAUCCAAAAUUUAUUUAAUCCUUUCUCUUCAAUGCAGUGAGGACACGUCCAAUCCUUCUUCAUCCGAACUUCUUCCAUGUCUAAAAAUUUAAUUAGGAUCUCAAUAUCAGCAUCUAUCAAAUAAAAGGGCAAAAAAAAAAAAAAAAAGCUCAAUAAUACCAGCAUAAUGUUUUCAAACAAAUUAAACAAAUAUGAACAUAUAUAAAGAGAGUAAGUUAACAUGCAAACUGAGGCACAAAACAAGCUAACAUAUUUUGAUCCUUUUUUUCAUUAUUAUUGUUUCGUCGCAUCAGUAAACAUGCCUUCCCCAUAUCUGACUUUGAGACAAGCGCGGCACAAUACGCCGUUCGCAGAAUGGCAGGAGGAGCAUUCUGUUUUCCCUGCCAGAAACAUAUUUCAAGAUUGGUUUCUUGUGUAAGUGAAUCUGAAAUGUAAAUGGACAUCUGAAUAAUAACUAUUGACAAGAAGUGAUGAAGGUGAUCGAUGAUCACCUAUGCAUGGCUGAUCUGAAUCUCUGUCGCCGCAGCGCCUGCAAUCUUCUUCUCCACACAACUUCUUCUGCCUGAAUUUGUAAGUUUGUAAUGAAAAAAAAAAAAAAAAUCUUCAAAACUAGUUCUUUUUCAGAUAUAAAAAUGUAAAAUGUACAAAUCAAUAUAAUUUUCUAAUCUGAAAAAAAAAAAAACUAACCUACAAAAAUGGCAGCAAAUACCCAGAACAGGAUCAUAAACACUUCCUCUUCCUUUGCUGUCGCACCGCCGCGAGAGAAGCUGCCUCCUUUCUACCUCAGAAACAACUACUUCUCUUCCUCCUGAAGAACCCAAAAGAAAAAAAAAAACAUAAAGUAGAAUAGCUCUUGCGACUAAAAUGGUGGAUCGGUAAAGUGACAAAACAACAACCUUGUGGGGUUAACUCAACUGGGUCCGGAGAUUUUCCCUUCAAACGGUCCGAUCGCCGAAGGGGAGGCGCGGAAUUCGCCUCUACAUCCGACGGUUUCUUCACCCGGUCGGAUCGUCGGAGCGGAGUGGCUUCGAUUUUCCUCGCUUUUUUCGUCCUUUCGGGCGUAUUUGUAUAAUCUUUUCUCGACCGAGAAGGAGAAGUUAUGAGAUUAAGCUCUCCGGCGCAGCGACGGAUGCCGAGGGACUGCAUCCGAGCCUUCAUUUUCAUUUAUUUAAAUUUUUUAUAGGCAUUAUGGUGAAAGUAGCCGUUAGAAAAGAAAGUUUUUGAAAUUUUUACAGGUUUUGGGAGGGAAAAAGAAAAAAAAAAGCAAAAAAAAAAGAGAAAAGAGAACCUUGUUGUCGGAGAUUCGGGCGUUGCGGAGGCUCUCGUAGUCGCAUUUUGCAUCUAAUUUUCCCAUGGAUUCGUUUGAUCUUUCUCAGCUUGAGGUUUUUUGUGGGUUUCUGUUUCUGGUUUGAGAAGACAAGAGAAGAGUAGAGGAGAGGGGGAAGGGUGAAUUGUCACCAACGGCUAUAUUUUUUUUUUGAAUUUGUAUCAUCAAUGGAAAUUUAUAUGGAUGCCCCUUUAGUAUAGACUAUUUUAAAAUAGGCACCUGAACUUUAUUAUUAUUAUUAUUAUUAUUUAAAAGGUAAAUGUAUAUAGAAUUUAGUUAAAACUAUAAACCAUUUUGAUUUAAUUAUCUAACCUUUCCAAAUUUUAAUUUUAAUUUCAGUUUGUUUGGGUUAAUUUUACUUUAUUUGAUUAAACCAUUGGAAGUCUUUUGAAUUCAAAAAUUAAGGUCAGUUUGAAUUCAUGAGUUAAACAUACCAUUUGAACUCAAUAUUUGAGCUCAAAAUAUAAUUUGAAUUUGAUUUUGGGAAAACUUCAAAAACCCCCUCUGUGGUUCCACACUUUUUCAUUUUAGUACCCUGUGGUUUAAAGUGUAUCAAGUUAGUACCCUGUGGUUUCUCACUUUAUCACUUUAGUACCCUGUGGUUUAAAGUGUAUCAAGUUAGUACCCUGUGGUUUUGCACUUUAUCACUUUAGUACCCUGUGGUUUCACACUUUAUCACUUUAGUACCCUAUAGUUUAAAAAACCACAGGGUACUAAAGUGAUAAAAUGCAAAACCAUAGGGUACUAACUUGAUACACUUUAAACCACAGGGUACUAAAGUGAUAAAGUGAGAAACCACAAUGUACUAACUUGAUACAUUUUAAACCACAGGGUACUAGAGUGAAAAAAAUUGAGACCACAAGGGGGGUUUUUGAAGUUUUCCCUUUGAUUUUCUAUUUAAAUUUAUCCUGGUUUAAUCAAAUCACCGAAAAGUCCUUUGACAUUUAUAAUUUGUUCCCAAAACUUUGAUUUUGAAUAUAAAUUUAAUUAAAAUUUUUUUAUUAGACUUAAGAUUUGAACUAAAAAAUUGAGCCCAAAUAAAAUUCAAAUUUUAAACCAAUAACACAUAUAACAAAUUAAAGUUUAAUUUUUUGUAAUUCCAAAAUAAAAUUUUCGCAAUUUUCACAAGUUUGAUUUAUAUAUUUAAUUUUGUUUUCACAACUUUUAGUUACAAGAGCAAUUCUGGGAACUGCCUAUACCGUUAUCUAAAUUAUAGAAAAUUUAAAUUUUGUAUUUAAUAGCUAAACCAAAUACAAAAUUUAUAUUUUUGAUAAUCUAUUAAGGCAUGUUUGGUUCAUAAUUGGAAUGGAAAUGAAAAAUGAAAUAGGGUUGCAUUAUCCAACAAUGUUUGAUUCAUGAUUGGAAUAAAAAUAAAAAAUAUAAUUGAAACUGUAUUGGAAUGAAAAAUAAAAUGAUGAACCAUUUAAAAAUAUUUGGUUCAUGAUGGGGAUGAACAUUUAGGAUUUAAAAGGAAAAAAAAUCAUCAAGAGGAAGAGGAGUGAUGAAGGAAGAGGAAAGGGAGGGUUUUGACUGAUUUUACUUUGGGGCGUUCAUCUAGCUAACAGGUUUACAUUGAGAUUCAAAACCAGAUUGAGUAAUAAAUAGAUUAGGUUGUUCCCGUUCCAGAGUGGAAAGAGAAUGAAAAUUCGAUUUUUAUAAAACAAACAAUAACUAUCAGAAUCAAUAAAUCACAUUCCGAUUCCAUAAUCCAAACUAGGUUAACCAAACAAGUCUUUAAGAUCAGAUUAUUGCACGAAAUAAACACCGCGGUAUUACAUAUGUGGUAUCCCUGGUGUACAGCAGUAGAGGCUUGUCGACAGCUCUGGAGAGUGUCGGGACAAGUCCGAGUCGUGUUGGCGCGAAAUAGACGCAAAACAAACUCAGCGGGGACGCGAGAGCAGGACUUAGCUGUGGAAAUCUGCAAAUUGCAGAUUUUCUGCUUGUUGUACCGGUACAACCAUCAGGGCGUACCGGUACACUUUCUGUACCGGUACAACCAGCAGGGGCGUACCGGUACACUUCGCCAGACUUUUGCGCAGCUGCUCUCGGAUUGCCAUUUGUACCAGUACAACUACCCGUGUACCGGUACACCAGGGUAGGUGAGGGGCAAUUUGGUCUUUGCCAUGCCUCGUACGUGUCACCCCUCUCCCCCAGCUAUAUACAGGUGUGAAGAGCUGAGAGAGAUGGUUUUCCCUGCUUCCUUCCCUCUCUCUCUCUAGCUUGACCGAUUGUGGAGGAGCUCGAGUGGUGUUGGAGUUUCGUCGACGUCACGCCGCGGUGCCGUUCGAGCGUGCGUUCGUCGUCGUAGCAGCGUGAGGAGGUCGAGCGAGGGUGCGAUUCCGCCGUUCUCGACGUCACACCGGAUUUGGAGUUAGCGUUUGAGGUGGGUUAAUCGUCGGCUAUUUCCUAAGUAUAUAGAUUGUCGACAUGUGUUGUUAUGUUGAUUUAUUGAUAAAAAUUGCUCGAUUCAUGAAUUUUGGCAUGUUUAACUGUAGAAUCUGAAUUGGAGCUUAGUACUGUGACUAGGUAUUUACACAUGUUGGACUUAGAUUUAACUUAGGAGAAAACCUGCGAUCUGAACCUGUCACAUGCUUAAACUAUCUGAUUUAGCUCUAGGAGCCGUUGUUAUUCUGUAUCACCGCAGUAUCAGCGUGGUGGAUACCCCAGGUAGUUUAGAUAGCUAUUACACUCGUGCUGGGAUGCUGAGUGUAUUUUUACAGUAGUGUUCAGACUGUUCCGGACUGUUGAAUACCGUCGGGGUUGAUGGUGGACUCAUAUCGCCGUUUUGGGCGUCAGAUUGUGCUGAAGGCACGUGACCUAUUGGUUGUUAGAUCAGUUGGACCCUGUUACUUGACUUUGGCUUGUGAGAGCCUGAUUGAGCUCGACAGAGAUACGCUUGUAUACUCGGUUGGGUAGCUCCCACGAGUGCCACUCCGGAGACGGGCGCUGUGCUUUCGUGUUAGUGUCGUUCGUGCAGGUUGGACUUGCUCUCCACGGACUGUUUAGAGUGGAGGUAGCUAUAUAGUCGCAACCGGGCGGAACAGGUGUGUUCACAGUCCCAGGGGCGGGCAGGCUUACAGUCCCAGUUCGAUUGGGUCAGGAUUGAUACUUCUUACAGUUGGUUAGUGUAGAGCGUGAUAGUGUAGUGUCUUGUAGCUGUACAGUUUCUUCCAGCAUUUCAUACUAUCCUUACUCCCUUCUGUAGACUUAGUGGGUAGACCGACGAUGUUUAGGGCGGUACCCACUGAGGACUACUUAUUUUUAUAGUAGUUCUCACGCCCAGUUGUUACCCUGUUUUUGCAGAGCCUACUGUUCCGGUUGCUACUUCCUCGGAGACUGAUUAUGGCAAGGACGUUGCCAGUUAGAGCCUUUCCCAGUUACUACUGUUCGUGCGGUUACCAGCGGCAGGUAGUGCUAGUUUUUAAGUUUCUUAUACAUACUGGUUGUAUCUCGCUGGGCGAGCUUUUGUAUACCUGAACAUAUGUAUGCAUAUGGAACUUGUUCUGGUUUUUACCAGUUUUCUUCGAAAAGUUCUAUACUACCGUUUGUAGUAUUGUAUGUUUUACAGGUACAGCUAUCGCUUCGUAUACAGAAAAAUUCUUUUGUAUACGGCGGAUUUGUCGGCGUGCCCGGGGAACGUGCAAUCCGGGGCGUGACAACAUAUCCUACUAAUUUGUUUCUAAAAAUGUUCUUAAAGUGCGAGCCAAAUGUACCCUAUCAAUAAAUCCUAUUCUGAUUUCAUUGUCCGAAAUAAGUGAUCCAAGCCUUAUAUAUCUAAUUCUUUUGCAAACAUAGUUUUUGAACAUAAUACAAUUGCUAAUAGCUCAUAUGCCUGCUCUGCACUCUUUUUCUUCCUUCAUUCUUUUUAACCAAAUUACUGCAAAUAUUUUAAUUAAUUUUUCACAAAUAUAUUAUUGUUAUAAAAUAUUUUGCUUUUAAUAAAUUCCUAUAAACUUUUUUUUUCACAUAUAUCAUGAUUAAGUUACUUAAUUAAAUAUUCCUAGAAAAUUUCUUUUCAUGUAUGUAUCCAUAAAGAAUUUUAAAUUAUAUUGCAAUUAGGUUAAUUAUUUAAUUAAUACGAGUUGAACUGGAAUACUAUCAGUAACAAAUGGGCUCUGUUUCCACCCAUUUAUUUUUGAUGAUAGAGUUUCUAAGUCGACAAUCGGUACCAUUGAAAAUGAUAUACCACUUGAAGUAUUUAGAAACUAAAUUUUAAAUCUUUUUGACAUCAAUCAAAGAGUUUCAAAUUUAUAAUUUUAAUGGUUGAUAUAAGCCUUUUUUUUUUGUUUAAUGGCAUAAAGAUAUCCAAAUUAAUUGAAUUUUAAUUAGAAAAUUUUUUAAACAAUUUAGAACAAGAUCUAUACACAUGAUCUUGAUUACAAAAUUCCUAUCAUCACUUUUUAAAAUAUAUUCAUUUUCAAUCAUUCAUUUUUAUGUCCACUUGAUGAACAAGAGAACAAUAUCGAAAAAAUAUAAAAUUUAGUUUCUAGAUGCUUCAAGUGGUAAAGAUCAUAUUUAACGGUACCGAUCGUCGAUUUAGAAACUUUAUCAUCGAAAACAAAUGAGUGGCAAUGGAACCUGUUUGAUAGCAUUUUAGCUCAACUCUAAUUAAUACCUUUAUAUGUUAGUUAUUUACUUGUAUGUAUAUCUUUAUUAAUUACUUAAUUACUAAUAAGAAUUGGGCGGAAUAGCAUUAAUAGUAUUUGGGCUUUUUUCCUAUCGAGUUUUUAACACUGGGAUGAAAAAUUAUAAGGUUGGGAUGAUAGUGGUCUUCUAGGGUUUAGUCUAGGAUUGAGUGGAUGGUUAGUUGAAUAGUAUGAUUUAAAGGGUGAAAUUGAUUAAAGUAUAAAUUUAACAGCUAAAAAAUCAAAAGGAAAAGAGCCCAAAUACUAUUAAUAGUAUUCCAGCUCAACUCUUACUAAUAAACUAUCAUAAAAAUUUUUAUAUACCUAUUUAAAUUAAUUAAAUUAAAAAUUGGCUCAAUAAAAUUCUAAAAAAGCAUAAUUUUUUUUUUUUUUUUUUUUUUUUUUGAGAGUAGGUAGCAAGCUACCAGCUUCAUAAUCAUUGAAGAUAAGAAUUAUGCUACAGGGGUGGGCCGGCUAGGGCCUCGAAGAAGAAAAACACAACAAAAAAAAAAAAAAAUCAAGAUAGGCCUUUCCAAAAAACAAUCAGCUGCUUGAGCCUUCCCACCAUUAAAACUGGGUCUAUCUUUAUGCCACGAAAGAUGAGAUCGUUCCUGGCCUUCCAGAUGGUCCACCAGCAUGCAGCCAAUUCAGACAGCCCAUUCCACUUAUUUUGUCCGUCGUACCUACCCUUCCACCUAUCACAGAUGUCAAGUACAUCGUCACCCAACUCCCCCGCCUGGAUGUCCUCAAUUCUCGUAACCAUGAUAAACUUAGUAAAGACACAUUGGGUGAAUAGGUGGUCCACUGACUCGUCAAAAAUCCUGCACAAUACACAAGCCGUGUCCCUGACCAUCCAUGCUUACUGAGGUUGCCCGCUGUGAGCAUCCUUUUCUUAAGCACAAGCCAGUAGAACACUUUGAUCUUGAGUGGUGCACGGAUCCUCCAGAUCCAGUUAGCACGUCCAUCCCUCGUACCCCCAUCAUUCAUCGUUCGAUAGGUUGAUUUGACUGAGAAUAAUCCGUUGCUGGCCCAUCUCCAGCCUUUCCUGUCUUCACUGAGUGCUAACUGGAAUCCGUUGACACUCUCUUUGAGUUCCGAAAUGGAGGGACUUAUGCCCGGCGGUAGAGCGUCCUCGGCGCCCAAGAUCCUACUCCAGUUCCAACCAUCCCUUCCGAAGCAAGCCCUAACCAAACUUAGAUUACCAUCCAGCUGCCCGUACACGUCCGGGAACGCCGUUUGAAGUGUGGUAUCCCCACACCAUCUGUUCCGCCAAAAGUCAACUGAUCUUUCAUUACCCAGGAUAUAGUAGGCUCCCCACUUGAAAAUAUCGUUAGUGGAUAACACCCCUUUCCACCACUGUGAGAGAGGCCUGAACCCUACACCCUCCCGCAGAGGCCUUCUUCUACGGUAAUAUAAAGCUCGGAUAAUCUUAGUCCACUGCAGAUGGGGUGCAGUGAAGAAUCUCCACCACCAUUUAACUAAUAGCGCCCUGUUCAUGAUAGCUAUAUCUAGGACGCCUAAACCGCCUGCAGAUUUGCUCAAACAGACGUUUUUCCACGCAACUAGACACCCCUUGCCGGGGAUGUUACUUUGGCCACUCCCGAAGAAAUCUCGGCGUAAAGCUUCGAUACGCUUGAUCACCCAAAUGGGUGCUUUAAACACCGAAAGAAAGUACAACGGUAUGUUGGUAAGCACCACAUUGAUGAGUGUAAGUCUACCCCCUCUUGAAAGAAGUUUGGUCUGCCAGCCGCCAAUUUUGAUCUGCAGUUUCUGAAUAAACGCCUCCCUCAUGGGUGGUUUUGGCGAUAGGGGAAGCCCUAGGUAGUUACUAGGGAAUGAACCAACUUUGCAGUCAAGCGUCUGCACAAGUCUUGCCGCUUUGCCCUCAGUCUGUCCCAGAUAAAACAGCUCAGAUUUUCUCUAUUGAUUUUCAAUCCAGAAGCCCACUCGAACAAAUGCCACAACAGUCUUAGGUUUCUCAUAUAUCGUUUUCUAGCCAAGGAGAAAAAGAAGGUGUCAUCUGCAAACUGUGUAAGUAUCGUUGUGCUUUCAUCAGAAGGACCGAUGCCCUUGAAAAGGUUGUUUGAGGUGGCCUCUCUGGUCAUCCUGGCAAGACACUCUGCCACCAAUAGAAAUAGGAAUGGGGAGAGUAGGUCCCUUUGACGUACACCUCUUAGUUUUAAUCCAAUUAGUCGGCUCCCCAUUAACCAAAAUAGCUACUUUAGCAUUGCAAACACAUUGUUCGAUUCAGCCACACCAUUUCACGUCGAAACCCCACGACUGGAGUAUACUGAACAAAAAGGGCCAAUAAAUUCUAUCGUAGGCCUUUUCAAAAUCCACUUUAAUGCCGACCCCCUCAGUCGCCUUCUUACUACCCCAACUAAUUAGUUCAGAGACAGUGGCGUACGCAUCGGCGAUAUUCCUGCCUUGCAAGAAGGCAGAUUGAGAAAGAGAGAUUAGGUCGUUCAUACAGGUAGCAAGGCGAUUUGCAAGGACCUUCGAGAUAAUCUUUUGAAUACCGUUGAUGAGGCUGAUAGGUCGAAAAUCGUUUGCUCUUUCCGCCCCUUCUUUCUUAGGGAUAAGGCAGAUGAAAGAGUAGUCUAGGGGAGUAGUGGAAGCCUUGCCCUCAAACAACUCCUCGAACAAGUUGAGUAGGUCUUUCUUUAUGGAGUCCCAAAAGGUUUGGUAGAAUCUUAAUGGGAAUCCAUCGGGUCCCGGGGCUUUAUCGCUACCCAGUUGGAAUACCGCCUCUCUUAUUUCGUUUGCGCAAAACUUCUCUGUAAGCCGCCUCAUCAUAUUUGCCGAUACCCGAUUGGAGGUAAAUAGCCCACUCCAAUCUCCAAUAGAGUGUGGGGCAGAGUUUUCUGUCGUAAAAAGCUCUUUGAAGUAUCGAAAAAAAUAUAUCUUCUUGUCCUCUUCAGAUUGGUAAGUGCGCCCGUUGUCAGUUACGGCUGCAAUUCCAUUGGCGCGCCUUCGCCCAUUAGCAAUACUGUGGAAGUAUUUUGUGUUGUUGUCUCCAUCGCGUAGCCAAUGUUGGUUCGCUCUGGCUCUCCACAUAGAAGCUUCGUCGUUUAAGACGUCCCGUAGUUUGGCCUUUAGCUCGUCUCUCCUCACUGCACACUCCUCGGUUAACGUUCCUUGAUCCUCAUCUUUAUCUAUCCGAUGGAUUUCCUCCAUCAAAUAGUUCUUCCGCUCCCGAAUGCAGUAGAAUUUGUUGUUGCACCAUUCUUUAAUCCUUUGUCGACAGUGUCUUAGUUUCGCUGUGAAAGUGAGCACCGCUGAACCCUUCGGCGUUCCUUCACUCCACCAUCCAGGUACUUUGGUUAAGAACCCCUCGUGAUUGAGCCAUGCUUUCUCAAAUCGAAAAAUUUUCUAUCUCCCUUUUUUGCCUUGCUCAGCCGUUAGCAGUAUAGGGCAGUGGUCUGAAGUGACAUAGGGUAGCGCAACAACCUUGGAUAAAGGAAAAUCCUGAUCCCACUCAGUUGAGAUUAAGAAUCGAUCAAGCCUAGCAAGAACUGGGUUUUGUUGCAUAUUGGACCAUGUGAAUUGUUGGUUCAUCAUCGGAGGGUCUAUGAGGGUUAGCUCACUUAUGAGUUCGUUAAACAACAACAUAGCUCUAGCACUCCAAGUCUUCCCUCUCCGCUCCUCUUGCUUUCUAAUGCAGUUGAAGUCGCCGCAGAUGAUCCAUCUUCCCUAACAGUGCGUUUUAAGUUGCGUCACUUCUGUGAAAAACUCUUCCUUCCUGUCCCACGUCGCAGGCCCGUAAACGUUCGUGACAUAAAACUCUUUUCCAGACUUAGCGUGCGAAAAAAGGACAGUGAUCGAAAAUUUUCUGACUAGGACGUCGCGGCCAGUGAACAACUGAGAGUUCCAACAUGUGAUAACUCCCCCAGAAGCACCGUCAGAUUCGAGGAAGACGCACUUGUUAAGAAAAGAGCCACCAAAGGAGCGCAGAAAUGAGCUAGAAACAGAGUUCACCUUAGACUCUCGUAAACAUACGACCCUAUUACAAAGUUUAGAAAUAAUCGCCCUAACGGCGUUCCGCUUCGAGAUGCUGUUGAGCCCUCUAACGUUCCAACUACAAAUACCUAGCAUAGCAUAAAACAAAGGGCACCCAUCAACAAAGACCCAAAAUGAUGCCCGACAAACCCGAAAAAGUAACCCCCCGACUACGCGCGCUUGCGCACAAACUCCCCCAAAUUCCUUGCGUCGUCUUCUCCCAACCUCACUCCACAGAGGCGGCUCUUCCGUACGAGGUAAUUAGCAGAGUAGAUGACCCUACCCCUGCCCCCGCCCCCACCUUCCAGCUGUCUUACCUUCCUGAUCAUAGCCCGCUGCAUAAUCAAGCUCUUCGCACUCUUCGCCAAUCGCGUGCUGUAUCUCUGGCUGGUGAGCACUACCGAAUCAGUCUCGCUAUGACGAGGCUCCGUCUCAGGACUGAGAUCACUUCGUUGUAUGGCUCGUCCCGUGUCCAGAUGGUCUAUCAGCUUUGUCAAGGUCCCAUCCCAGUCACCCGUGCAGCCACCAAAAGCGUCUUCCUCCACGUCACCAUCUCGAGUCAAAGGCAAGACGGGGCUUCCUCCCCCAGCCACACUUUCCUUAGUGUGUGCCCCCCACCCUGUCAACAUCCCCUGAGUAAGUACAGAUCGGCACCUGUCCACGCCCCCUAGCACAUGCAAUCGGCUGAUGGGACCUAGGAUAGGGCCUAGAGCUAUUAACCAGGCCCGCGUUCCCGUGCCACCACAAACUCUAUCGCAGCCGAUAGAUCCCAAAGCAAAAGACAACAGUAGGUUUCCAUUCUCUAUCAGGUCAACCAAAGCUUUAUGGCCCCCAACAACCUGUUUCCCCACCCCCUUUGACAGUGAAACCAACAGAUCUCGAACCACCCCCCAACCUUAGUACCCCUUCCAUCUUCUAGAAAACACUCUGUCCUACCUUCUUCUCCCCAAUCUCCAUUGUGAUCGCAGCAGCCGCCUCGAGGUCCUAGAUUGUCGCACCCCCAUUGACCGUUGCAAGCACCCCCCUGCUCUCGAUCGUCGCGCCAUCAGCAGGCGUGGCAAGCACCCCAAUGCCCUCGGUCGUCCCGUCGCCGGAGCGGGUCGCGGGCCGCCGCCGGCCGUCGCACCCUGCCUCCUUCCCCGUGUCUCGGGAAGCUCCACCGUCGCCAACUCCCUUCCUUCUCUAAGUCCUUCGAUCGCUGCCUCCCACCCUCUCAAUCCCUUUUCGCGCCUGCUCCGCCCACCGGACCACCAGAGCAAGAGUGGCCGGUCGGGACUGCCUAGGGACGUCCGCUUCCUCCACUUUGCCCGCGCCCAACUCCGCCCCGUCAUCCUCAUUCGCCUGGUCCCCCUCACCGCCAACCGACUAGUUGGCAUCCGAAUCAUCGUCGACUGCUUCCCCUUCAGUCGGUCCAUUAUGAAGAGGAGGCAGAGGAGCACCACCACCCCCGACGUCGAUCCUCUCCCAACUUACAAGGUGGACCAUAACAGAGAACACUUCCUCACCAAGCACAAUGGACAGGUUUUGAGGGACAUCGAGCAGUGAGUCGAGGACGAUCUGACACCGAUACGCACGCAGAUCCGUCAAAGCUCUGGUGGUAGCAUCUGCCUUGAUGAACCUCCCAAAACCCCCUACGAUAGCCGCCACCCGGGGGAUGGUCCAGAUUUCGAAGGGUAGGUUGAUGAGGUGGAUCCACGGUUGAUAGCCCGACUGAUGAGGCUGGGCGUUCCAGUGCCUCCCCCACGGAUAGCAUCUGAUCCAGAAGUCGCUAAGCGUGAGCACUUCACGCCUAGUGAGUACAUCAACAUGCACCCAAUCCGGCAGAAAGAUGGCGAAGUCCCUCUCCCUGUGCCGAGCUACCGCAAAGUCAUCGUUGUAGCCCCCGAACCGUCACGCCAUCGUAUUUUUUAUGGUAGAAACCGGAUCGGGGCCUAGGUUCGCAGGCUGGAUGACAUCAGCUAGAACAGCGUUGCGCCGCAUCUCCUGCCGACGAAGGUACUCCUCCGUGUAUGGAACGAAAACCUUCGUCGCCGAGACGCGUCCCGGUCGUCCCUGUCGCUGGUUGAGUCUGAACAUUUCGGCGUUUGCCCAAAGACCCCUCUUAGCCUUGCACUGGUGUACUCGAUGGCCUAGCCGUAGGCACCUCCGGCGCCUGACCGGAUCCCGGCAAUCCGCGACAAGAUGGUCCGAGGCAAGGCACCAGAAGCACCGCCUGGCACUCGGAUGGCAAGGCAAAAGCUUCAAUCUCUGGUAUGAGGGGUAUUUCUUCGGUAGCUUAACAGAAGGUGGCUGGGUUGUCUUCCCUCUCCACAAUAAAGCCUCUUUGUAGGUCGCCGGCCUAAAGAAGGAGUUACUACCCCCACCCUCCCCGCAACAACUACCCUUUCCCGGAGUUGUGCCGAAUCGCAGACCCCCCUUUCCUUCACGAUGUCCGACAAUAACUCCAUUACCUAGCUUGCUAGUUAGCCCCUUGCCGAAAGCGUGCAAGGUCACCUUGUCUUUGCGCUGGAUUCGUAAGAUUUCCACAGCGCUUUCGCCAUCCUCGUCUGUCGCGUCCGAGCAAUCCAAGAGCUUUCGUCUUAAAUGUCCGUAGCUGCAUCCUUCAGGGCUUACACGAUUAGCCCCCUGGCCAGAGCGAAAUGACAGCUUGCACCUUAAGUGGCCAUUAAAUCCCCCAUCAGUAAGCUCGCACUUUCCUCUAUGGACAGGUAUGAUGCGUUUCCCACCAUCAAUACUCCCACCCACCGUCACUAGGGCUUCACCGAUCUCGUCUGCCCAUACCACAUGUUUCAGAACCUUCUUGCCCUUCCUCCUGUAGCUCUCGUAUUGCUCCCCCAGUCUGGUAGAGCCCUCGCUCCCUGGCUUGAUGGAGGCCUCGUCUCUCCAUUUUCAUCGCAGAACCUUCUUGCCCUUUUGAAAUUGAACUCUCAACAUAUAACUAUUUUUGGUUGAAAUCCUCUCAACUUCUAAACUUUUGGAAGUAAAUAAUUUUAGUUAAUAAAAAAAAGAUUUUGUCAAAUUCAACAGUGAUUUUAUCGUAACUAAUAAUUUUUACUAACUUUUAGCAAAUAAUACUAUACCACUAAACAAUUAGUCCUUCAUAGAGUUAUUAAAUUUGAUAAAAUUUUAGCAUAACAAAAUUAAAAUUAGAAGUUGAGGUGGUCUCAAUAAGGAAAAAAGUAAUUGUAAUACUCCAAAUAAUCCCACAUUGGAUAGAAAAAAAGUUAUGGUUGAAAAUAUAAGAGAUCUUAAACUUUAGUAAUAAUAAUCGGGCUUAAACAUUUUAGAUCAGUGGUUUAGAGACAACGAGUUAUUAUUGUUAAUAUGGAGUUGUUAUUGUUAAUAUGUCAAAUCAUUAAAUUUGUUAUCAAAGUCGAAUACCAGUUGAAAAUAUUCGUGUUUAUAACAUUAUUAUGAUUGAUUCAGUCUAUAAAAUUUAGUAAUCUUGACAAUAAAAUAUAUAGUCUAUUCCAAAAUUACGCUUAGUCAUAUUUGGCAAACUUUUUUACUAAAUUUUAUUUUAAAUAAUUUAAAAUUUUAAAUUUUAAAAUUUAAAUUUUAAAUUUGAACAUAAAUAUAAAAUUUAAUUUUUUAAGAUUUAGAGUAUAUGAAAUCAAUUGAAAUUUAUAAAUCUAAGAAUUUAAUAUUGGAUAGGAUUAAAAUUGAGAUAAUCGCUAAAAAUAUACAAUUUAUAAUAUAAGGUAUAGAAUUUAAAUUUUUAAAUCUAAAUUUAAGAAAUUUAGAAUUUAAAGACAAAUUUGAGAUAUUAAAAGUUUUAGAUUUUAAAAUUUAAAAAUUAAAGAUUAAAUUUGAGAGUUAAGAUUGACAAUUUUAAAUUUUAAAUUUUAGAUUAAGAUUUAAAUUUUAAAAGGUUUUAAACUUUAGCAUAAAAAUUAAUAUUUUAAAUUUUGACAAUGUUAAAAUUGAAGAUUUAAAAAUUUAAUGUUUAAUUUUAAAUUUUAAUUGUAAAGAUUAAAAAUUUAAGAAUUUUAAAAUUGUAAAAUUUAAAAGUUUAAAGAUGUUAAAGAGUGUUAAGGAUUUAAAUUAAAAUUUUGAAGUUUAAAAAAUUGAAUAUUGGUAAAGAGUUUAAUAGAUUGAAAUUUGUGAAUUGUUUAAAAAUUAAAUAAAAAUGUCAAAUGGGUCGAUUUAAAUUUUAAAAGUUGAGCAAUUCAAAUUUGCGAAAUUUAAAAUGUGUUUAAAAUGACGUACUUGAAAGGUGUUCAGGUGAGUGUAGGUGGUAGAAAGCUGUGUAGAUUUAAUGUAAACAUGACAAGGUAUUACUGCCUUCAGUAAUGCUAAGGAUAGCAGCUUGAUACAUGAGGAUAUUUGGCAAUCCUGCAGCCAUGUUUGAAUGGCUACGAUGUUACGAUGCUGAUUACCUCCGGGGAUGAACCAAACGGCAUGGACCUGAAGAGAUUGUGCAAGUAUAAUCGGCUGAAUCUAGGGAUUAACUCCGAGAGCCAGAAACUCGUGGUCACGCCUUAAGAGUUAAACUAGGUGAAUUAGCUCGGCGAGCGAUGCUGCAGAUAUAAAAUAUUUUAAUAACAAAUAUUAAUUAAAAUAUUUAUAUUACUUUAAUUUUUAAGUAUUAAUUAUAUAAAUUUUAAAAUAAUUUGAAUAAAAAGAAUGUAAAUUGGUUUAUGCACUACAAAAUUUUUUUUAAGAACUUGCAAGUAACUAAACAAUUUUAUAAAGGAAUAUAUAAGCAAAAAAUUAUUAAAAAAAUCAUAUGAAAAAAAGGUUGUUGGGAGGAGCUCUUUAGUCUUCAACUCUUUAUACAUAGAAAAAGAAAAAGCUUCUAUAAGAUUCACCAUUCAAGGUUCUAUAAGGUUUCACAAUUUAAACUAAAAUAUAAUUUAAUAAAUAUAAUCGGUAUCAUGUAAAAAUACAUAUGUAAAAAAUAUUUGAUCAAAUUUUGUAUAAAUUUUAAUAAAUAUUCUAUUUAAUUAACCAAAUUAAUCAUAAAAAGUUAAAAAAACCAUAAAAAUCAAUUAAAAAAUUAAAUUUGAGCAGUCUAUUGUAAAGGGUCUUAAUAGUUGAGAAGGUCCUCACAUUUUUUUUGCCAAAAUGUCUUUUGCUGAAUAUGUAUUGAAACUUCCUAAACUUUUAAUUUUUUAAGGUAAUUUUAUCAAAAAAUUUAUAAAUUUUGUUAAAUUCAUUAGUAAUUUCGUUAGAUUUAGAAUUUUAAUUUUUUUUGGUCAUUUUAAUGUAACUAAGCAUAAAAAUUACAGUAAGAAAUAAAACUUGAUUGGGUCUUAAUUCAAAAAAAUUAUAGUUGGGGGUUAUCUAUAUAUAUUUAUUUACAUUAAAGGAAAUGAUACUCUUUGAUGCACCAAAUGUAAAUAAAUUUUGUGCAUUUUAUUUUUGAAAAUCUGAUAUAAAAAUUUAAACUCUAGCAGUUUUUGAUAUAGAGGCAUUUUAUAUAGAUAGGUCGCAUUUAUAAAAUUAUAUUUUAAUUUAAUAAUACUAAUUAUAAAAAGUUAGUAUUAAUAUAUGUAAUAUUUAUAGACCUAAUUAUAAAAAGUUAGGAUUAAUAUAUGUAAUAUUUAUAGACCGAAUUAUAAAAAGUUAGGAUUAAUAUAUGUAAUAUUUUUAGACUGGGUGUAGGCAAAGUUUUUCUAUAAAUGAGGAGUGGGUAGGGAAGAAAUUAUUCGAUACGUCGGGUUUAUACUUGUAUUUAACAUCAUACUAAUAAAUCCACAUUGUUGGAACUUAAGGCUUAUAAUAUUUUGUACAUAAACUUAUUAUAAAAUAUAAAUUAUAUUUAAUUUUAAAUUGAAAAAAUAGAUUUGAUGCAUAUUAUAUUUGUGUAGACCGGGUGCAUGCAAUUUUUUUAAAGAGAGAGAGAAGAGCUUUAGGAGGACACUUCUCCUAAGGGCCUUGAGGUGACCCAACUCUCCUUUAAUGGAGUAGUAAUAGAUAAUAGAUAAUAGCUAAUAGAUGUUAUGCGAAAUAAAGUACGAUGUACAUGACAUAUUUGGUGACAGCAAUCUCUUAAACCUGCGGAAGCCAUCUCUUGAAUCCAAUAUUGCCUGAUAAUUCUAGUCUAUGAAUGUGAUCAAGCUUCAACAGAGGAGUCCAUAGCACCUAAUAAUUCUGAUCUAUGAAUGUGAUCAUGUUUUAGCAGGGUAGUUCGUAGCACUACAAUAGUUCUACAUCAGAUGAAAAAUAGAUUAUGAUUAGAUAUAUUAAUAUUAUGGAUCCUAAUAAUAAUAACUGGAUUUAAACAUUUUGGUCUGCAUUUUGGAACCAUCAAGUUAUUAUUAAUAGUAGAUCCGGUCAUUCAAAAAGCAUCGCUUUUCUUUCUAAAUUUAGUUAGUAUUAUUAUUUUUCGUGCAAUUCUCACAACUGUAAAUUCAUUAAAAUAAGCACUUAACUAAAAUACAAAUUUAGUUAGUAUUACUAUAUUGCACUUAACUAAAAUUUACUAUAUUUCAUAUUUAGUUAGUAUUACUAUAUUGUACUUGACUAAAAUUUACUAUAUUUCGUGCAAUUCUCACAACUGUAAAUUCAUUAAAAUAAACACUUAACUUAAAUUUUAGUUAGUAUAUUUCGUACUGUAGUAACCCUGGAAUUCAGCAUUUGAGGCUUGUCGACAGCUCUGGAGAGUAUCGGAACAAGUCCGAGUCCUGUUGGCGUGAAAUAGACGCAAACUGGACUCAGCGGGACGCGAGAGCGGGAAGUUAGCAUUGCAAUCUCCAAAUUGCAUAUUUUUAGCAAUUGGUACCGGUACCACCCAGGGGAGUACCGGUACCCAGUGCAUUUUCUGCACAGACUGCUCUCGGGUUGGCCAUCCUGCUGCCUGGUACCGAUACAACAUUGAUGUUGUACCGGUACACCAGGGUAGGUAAGGGGCUUUUUGGUCUUUUCUUGUCUCGUUACUUGCACCCUUAUCCUUCCAACAUAUAAAGGAUUGAGAGGCUAAGAGAGAGAGAGUUUUGGUUGCUGCCUUCUCUCUAUCUAGCUGAAGCCGUACGCAAGGAGAGAGGCUUCGGGUGGAGUUGGAGUGAUGUCGACGUUGCGCGGCGGUGCCGUUCGAGCGCGCGUUCGUUGUGGUAGCGCCGUUGGGAGGCUGGGCGAGCGUGUGGUUCCGCUUCUAUCGACUUAUCGCCGUUGUUGGACGCGCUUCCGAGGUGGGUUAAAGUGAUGCUUACCGGAUUCUAAGGGUUUCCUCCUAAUUCUAUAUGUGUUGACAACAUGUAUUUUUAACUUGUUUAGUAUAUUGUUUAGCUCGAUUUUUGAAAUUUCAUGUCUAUAAACUUGAAUGGGAGCAUAGAAAAUUAGCUAAAAUAUGCAUGUUGGAUUUGAAUUUGACUUAGGAGAAAACUGACGUUUCUACACCGCCAUUUGAACAAACUACCAGAUUUAGCUCUAGGAGCCGUAGUUUGUCUGUAUCGCCGCAGUUUGUGGGCGGUGGAUACCCAGAAUAGUGUAAAAUAUAUUUACGCUCGUGCCGAGGUGCCGAGUGUAUUUUUACAACAGUGUUUAGGCUAUUCCGGAUUGUCGGGUGUCGUUGAAGUUUACGGUGGAUCCAGAUUGCUGUUUUUGCAUUAGAUCGUGCCGAGGGCACGUGAGUUCAGUUGUUAGACCCUAUUUACUUGACUAUAGCCUGUGAGAGCCUGAUUGAGCUCGACAGAGAUACGCUUGCAUACUCAGUUGGGUAGCGCCACGAUUGCCACUCUAGAGUCGGGCUUUGUGCUUUUGCGUUGGUGUCGUUUGGUCCUGGUUGGACUUACUCUCCACUGACGACCUGGUUUGGUGUCAGAUUGUGUAGCUUCGACAGGCGGGACGGGUGUGUUCACAGUCCCUAGUGAGAUUGGGUCAGGCUUUACUAUUUCCUACAGAUUGUUGGUGUUCGACCAAGAUAGUAUAGGUGCAUAUAGCUGUAGAUUUAUUCCAGCUUUCUUACUAUACUUGUUUACAUCUGUAGACUUAGUGGGUGAGCCAUUGAGGUCAGUAGCGGUAUCCAUUGAGGACACUUUUUUUGCAGUAGUUCUCACGCCCAGUUGUUGGAAUCUUUUGCAGAGCCUUCUUCUUCGGCUGCUGCUGCUGCUGCUGCUGAUUCGGACCGUAGAAAGGGAUUCGCGAGUUAGAUCCCUUCCCAGUUGCUGCUGAGCUAGAGUAUACCAGCUACAGGUAGUGGUAGUUUUUGAGUUCAUAUACAUACUUUUGUUGUAUCUCGCCGGAGCGAGUGUUUUGUACACCAGAAUGCUUGUAUGUAUAGUGAACUUCUGUUUAUAUUUAUAUCAUUUUUCUAGCAGCUCUAUACUACUGGUUGUAGUAUUGUUUGAUUACAGGUACAGUUGCCGCUUCGUAUACAGAAAAAAUUUCUUUGUAUACGGCGGAUUUAUCGGCGUGCCCGGGGAAAUGAGUAAUCUGGGGCGUGACACGUACAAUUCUCAUAAAUAUAAAUUUAUUACAGUAAGCACUUAACUUAAAUUUUAGUUAUGAUAUUUUCAUACAAUUCUCAUAAUUAUAAAUUUAUUGAAGUAAGCACUUAACUUAAAUUUUAAACUCAAUGUACCGUUGACUGAUUCAAACCAAAUAAAUUAAAAGAUUGGACAGUAAAAUUAAAAUUUUAAAAGGCUGAAUAGUAAAGUCAAAACGGUGCAUAGUUCAGACAAGUUUCANUGAAAAUCAUGUCAUGGAUAUCUCAAAAAUGAUCAAGUAAAAACGACAGAUAUGCAAAAAAAAAAAAAAAAAAAAAAAAAAAAAAAAAAAAAAACUGAGGGACAGUUUUAUCGAUAUUAUUAUUUGGAACUAACUUGCAGGUGGGAAAGCAUUUCUCAUGUAAAAUCAACAAAAAAAAUAGCAGUUGUUAGAGGGUUAUGCCUAGCCGACGUUAAUUCAAUUUUGUUUGCUUACUCUUUUCUUCCCACGAAAAAAAGAAAAAAAAAACUUUGUUUGCUUACAUCUGCUGGCCUUAUUGCUGUUUUUUUAUUAGAGCUAAUUGCAUAUAAGUCCCUGUAAAUAUAGUAAAUCAUAGAUAUGUUGUCAUGCCCCAGAUUAUCGCGUUUCCCCGAGCGUGCCAACAGACCUGCCGUAUACAAAAAAAAUUUUUCUGUAUACGAAGCGAUAGCUGUACCUGUGUAAGGACUGAGAUUUUUACGGUGCAACUAAACUCUCUGUUGAUGAUGUUUAUGUGUGUAACUUAAUUACAUAAGCACUCAUCAAGUUUCAGGAGAAAAUGAGCUAGAACGGAGAAGUUACGCGAUUAUUAGUUUUCACUUAAAGUGAAUAGUAACCCGAUUUUCCGGAGAAGCUACAGAGUAGAGUUGGCUUUCGGCAUGUAUCGGACUCUGUUCAUAGUGAUCCAGUAGCUCGUUUCGAUCGGUUCAGCUAUUCUGGAACCAAUGGCACUGACGGAUUUCAGAUCCGAUGACGGUUUUCGAGAAAAAGGAGUUUUAACAAAAAGAGAAUUUCCGCUCCUUGCUAUUCGUGCAUUUUAAAACUCCUCGUGCUUUGUACAAGUGAUCUGGAGAUGGGUGAGAGAUGUUUCAAGUACCUACUGGUGGUAGGGAAUUCAAAUACGAGUUUGAAUUAAAGGAUUUCGGGUUUCCACCAAGGCCUAUGUGUGAUAUAUGGAUUAGUUGGAGAGAGGUCGGAUUUUGUUACAAAUCAGCAAGUAAAUCGGAUGAAACGAAAUCGUAGCUUCGAUGCCCUCGUCAUGCUGAACGCGAUGGCUCUGUCGGAUCGAAAAUCCGACGGACGGAUUUUCGGGAAACGCGAAAUGUUCGCUGAGGGGUCGAAUUGGCAAAAUUGGAAACUUCGCAAAAGUCAUUGUAUUUUAUGUGCCGAAUCGCGUGAGAUCGGACAUAGAGGUGCGUAUGUGUAAAAUACGCGCGCUGUGAGGGACUUGACUGAGAAUAUUACCCCUGGGAGGACUAUUUUGCAAAAUGCACAUAUGUGUAUAGUGGUUGCACUAGGGUUUCAUGAGGAAACCCUAGCUUUUGGCCUCCCUCUUCCUCAACCGAACCCCAGCCGCCUUAGCUCUCCCCUGCCCACCUCGUGCGCGUGCCCCGACCGCCGGCAGGUGCUCCGACCGCCGGAAAACCCUUCCUCCAUCACUUCUUUACCUAUUCUCCACCCUCCUCGGCCAUGCAACCCAGAGGAACUUCAAACACCUUUGGAAGCCUUCCCUUGGCCGAGAUCCACCCUCCGGCGCCGUCACCGGCCGUUCCCACCGCCUGCGCACGCCGCCGACGCCGCCCAAGCAUGCUGCGCCUACCCCUCAGUCAGCCCAGAACACACUCGGUGGGCUCGAGGCCGAGCAUCGCCGCCACUCCAAUCCGCCCAGCGACGUCAUCCUCCGGCUCCGGCGACAUCCCGCUGCCGCCGCCCGCCGCCCCCCGCCGUCCCGGAACGCCGACGAGCACCCUAGCUCCUUGCAGCCAACCGCAGAUCACCACAGAUCGAGCCUGGGUGAUCUCGGCAUCCACGUGCGCCCGCCGCUCCUCGCCGCAGUGCGGCCCUACAGACAUCGCUCGCGCGACCCGGCGCGCAGCGUCCCUGCCAUCCCCCGCGCCGCCGGCCGCCGCUGGAACCUUCUGUGGCCGCCCAGACCCGUGCGGGCCGGUCGGACCGCUCGGCUUCCAAGCGCCGCCGCCGCCCACCGGCCUCGGCCUCCGGCCCGGAUCGUCGCCGCCCCGACUCCUCCGGCCACCGCCUGGCGACGCGCCGGGAACUCGACGUACUGAGAGGAGUGGGCGGAGUCGAUCUCCUCCGCCGCGCCACCGGUUGCAGCCCGCCGCCGGCCAGCACCCUCCCCGGACCUCUCGGACCGGCUGCUCCCAUCCCUGGCCGGAGUGCCCGCCUCCCGGCCGCCGGCGACCAAUCCUAGCUCCCACUGCUCCGGUGUGCUGUUUCUGAGUUCCAGCAUUGUUGUUUAAGCUUUCCGGCCACGUUUCCGGUGAUCCGAGGACUCCCCGACACCCUGGGAAGUGAGCACGAUGAUCUACAACUCGUGCUAAACAUCGUGCUCACCUCCGACAGCGGCAAAGAUGCCCUGGUUAGUGAGUUAGUCGCGAUCUUCGUGCUGUGCGAGCAGUUUAACAGAUCUUCACAUCGCUCGUACGCGCACCGCAGUGGCCGGCAGUGCUCCGAAAGGUGAGCACGACCUCCGUCAUGCUGAAACCUAUCAGCGAGCGCGAUGAUUCGCUUAAUCGACUUCUGGUUUACGUGCACGGUCCAGAAAAGCCUAGAAAUCACAUGAAAUAAUGCGAUUUCAUGUAUCGGUGUGGGCUUUUAGGACUUUUGCUUUGAUGUAGCUGCUGUUGGCAGCAUGUUUGGGCUGAGGAUAACCUCUGAACUAAUCGUCCAAGGCCCCAAGCCCUCGCGGAAAUCGAAAAGUGAUUUUCGGAGUGUUUUUCGGCGAAGUCAGCCGAUAGAACGCGUUUUCGAUUCGGAAUUCUUCCGACGGUACUUGGGGAUGAUUUAUUGUGUCGCUGAGCCUAGUUGGCUGGUCACCCGCAUCGUUUUGUGGGUUCGAAAACGACAGGUGAGCGACAGUAAAGUUCCGGUACGGUUUUCGAAACUUCCGGCAUGUUCGGUAAUCGGUUUUGGGAAACCGGUUCUCGUGGUUUUGGUGAGUGGGGAUUGUGUGUUAGCGAGACAUGUUAGUGGGUUAGAUUCUAACCCGUUGGACCUUUCGUAGGUUUGAUUGUUUCGUCUUCACAGUCGAGAGAUCUUCGUCAGACACGUACAGGUGGGUACUUCGAUCCGAUGUCGGUACAGUGGUGCACGUUCGGUGAUGGUUUCUUACCCUUGCCCUCUUACUAUUAUCUGUGUGCGUAUACAUAUUGAGCCUUUCACCCAUAUUAUUUCCAUAUUUACUCUACUCGGUUGUUUCCAUGUUUAGUAUCUUGUGUAGGAGUAGAGUAGAUUUCAUCAGCAUAUGAUAUCUGUGACAUGAUUGGUCGAGUUCAUAUCCUAUAUCUGUGACAUGAUUGGUCGAGUUCAUAUCCUAUACUUGUGACAUGAUUGGUCGAGUUUCAUAUCCUAUACUUGUGACGUGAUUGGUCGAGUUUCAUAUCCUAUACUUGUGACAUGAUUGGUCGAGUUUCAUAUCCUAUACUUAUGACCUAUUCGGUCAAGUUGCUACAGUUCUAUCUUGACAUACGUAGCCGACUAGUUGCUGAUGGCUUAUACGGUCGGUGUGCCCUGAGGGGCUGGAUUGUCGGCUAGUUGCCGAUGGAAGAUCUUUGAGCAUACUACAUUGAUCGCCACUACAGGUACGCAUUUCACGAACACCAGCGGUCUGAUCCACCGCAAGAGGGUGUUCUUUUCCGGAAAAGUGGUUGGAUUGCCAACCCGUGAGCCCAGGGGCUUUAUUGCGAGGGUAUAUGCUUCUGACCCAGGGGCUUCAUUGCGAGGGUCAGGUACUGUGCUUCUGACCCAGGGGCUUCAUUGCGAGGGUCAGGUACAGGUUGAGCAGUGUGGCAUGGGCCUGAGGUCUUCGGACCAAUAGGGCAGCGAGAUUGGGUACUUUUGAGGUUAUCGUCAGUUGACGCAUGCAUACAGUAGCUGUAGUGUUUAUUUCCAGUACAUCCUUAUCUGUUUAUUGUAGCUACUGUUUUAUUUACCUGCAUCUAUACUUGUCAGCUCCUUACUUAUCAGCAUCUUUACUUACCAGCACUUAUGUCUAUCUAGUUCUCCGUGUUGUUGUAUAGCUCUCUUCCUGAUCCGGUGAGUACUCCUCGCCUUCUUCGGCUUGCGGUACCCACUGGGAGGGGAGACAUGUUUACAUGUUCUCACCUCCCCCACCAUUUUUCAGGUAUCGCGGGCGAUGAGUAGUGGGACGAGACGUGAGGUACGUGUGUAGCGGUCGAUAGAGCUUCCGACCCAGGUUAUUUCGAUUUAGUUAUUAUCCUUGGUAUUUCUGUUGAUAUAUAGUUUAGUUGGUUUAUGUGGUUCAGUAUUUAUUUACAUUUGAAAAUGUGGAUUUCUGGAUUUUGUAAAAUAAAAGGUUUUCUACCCCUCGUGGUAGCGUUUUUAAAAGAUAAAAGUUUCCGUGUAGGGAACAGUUUUCAAAAGGUUUUCUGUAGAUUUUGUAUCUUAGUAUUUCAAAACCUGUUUCUGAGUUGGAAACAUUUAACUGAUAGAUAUGGAUUUAUGUUUAAAUAUUGAAUAUAUAAAUGUGAACCUGUGAUGUGAAUGGUGUAUGGAUAUAUAUAAUUGUUGGUUAUUUGUAUAUUCAUUUGGUUGUGGUUGUACCUGGGUUGCUUCUUGUACUUGUGCGACGUUGUGCAAAUACAGGGGAGACUCUGUCCGUGUGCACAGUGAAUUUCCUGUAUUUGUGGCGGAUCUGGCAUACUCUGGGGUCAGGUUUUCAAAAAAAAAAAAAAAAAAAUUUAGACGCUUUUCCACUAUCUUUUAAACUGAAAGGGACCUCGGGGCGUGACAACCUGUAAACGAAAACAAGCUACAACCACAAGGUAAGAGCUGCUAGACUGAAAAUAGCAUAUAUAUAAAACCUCGAGGGGUUCCAGUACAUACAAAAUGUCUAUUACACCACUCGCUUGAGCGAGUAUCGAGACAACAACCAUAUGUAUAUAAAUACCCCAAAAUUACCUGUGAGAGGUACUCCUCUAGCACUACAACAAGACUGGAAAAAAUCUAGCUCGCAACUCCCUUUCCACGAUCAGAAUCGGCGACAGCAGCAGCCGCAGAAGAAGGCUCUUCAAAAAGGGGUCAACAACAGGGUGUGAGAACUACUGUAAAAAGGAGUAGUCCUCAGUGGGUACCGCUACAGAUCUCAACGGCUCACCCACUAAGUCUACAGAAAGUAUGUAUAAGGAUAGUAAAGAAUGCUGGUAAAACUCUACAGCUAUAUACCACUAUACUAUCGCUAACCGACACUAGCUAUCUGUAGAUAUAAGAAUGCCAUCUUUGACCCAAUCUCACUAGGGACUGUGAACGCACCCGUCCCGCCUAUCGAAGCUACACCAACCACCACCACGCUGGGUUGUCGGUGGAGAGCAAAUCCAACCCGGACAUUAGACAUCAACGCAAACACACAAAGCCAGACUCUGGAGUGGCACCCGUGAGCGCUACCCAAACAAGUAUGUAAGCAUGUCUUUGCCGAGCUCAAUCAAGCUCUCACAGGCUAUAAUCAACACAACUAAGUCUAACUGGUCUAACAACCAAAUCUCACGUGUUCUUGGCACAAUCUGAUACAAAAUACAAAAAUCUGGGUCCACCGUCAACCACGACGGCACCCGACGGUCCGAAACAAUUUAUACACUACUGUAAAAUAAUUUCGGCAUCCCAGCACGAGCAUAAACUCAUCCUACACUAAUCUGGGUAUCCACCGCAUACAAACAGCGACGAUACAGACGAACCACAGCUCCUAAAGUUAAAUAUGGUAAUUUUCAGAAAUAACAGUGUAGAAUCUAUAUAUUUUCUCCUAAGUCAAUUUCAAGUCUAAUAUGUAAAAUUAUAAUUCUAGCUUAACUCCAAAUUCAGAUUUUAUCUCUAAUCCAUGAAUUUGAGUACUAGCAAGGAAAUAAAAUCAAUGCAACAUGUCGACGAUGUUAAAACUUAGGAGGUAUUCCGACGAUUUCGGUAAACUUCAACCCACCUCGAAAAGCUCGUCCAACCACGACGAGAAGUCGAAAGAAGAAGAAAUCACGCGCUCGUCCAGCCUCCAACGGAGCAACCGCGAUGCCCACGUGCUCAAACGACCCUUCGGUGCAACGGCGAUAAACUCCCGAGCUCGAGUCGUGACCUCCACCUCGAACACGAUCAAGAAAUAGAGAGAGAGAGAGAGCAGCAAUCUAAAAACCUCCUCUGUCUCUCUACACAUAUAUAAAGAGGUGGGGAUAAGGUUGAUAUUAACGUACUUCAAAUGACCAAAAAGUCCUUCACCAACUCAAAAUUACAGCUAGAGUACCGGUACCCAAUUUGGUUACCGGUACUCGGUCUCUCAGCCCGUAAGCUCGCACACAUGGUAUCGGUAUCAACCCGAUGCCGUACCGAUACUCAACACUGAAAUCCUGCACUUUGCGGAUUUCAGCAUCAGAACUCUACUCUCGUCUCGCGUCGAGUCCGUUUUGCGUCUAUUUCGGGCCAAAACGACUCCGACUUGUCCCGACGCUCUCCAGAUGUGUUGACAAGCCCCGGAUGAUACUCACAGGCAACCAAACACCAGGGAUACUACAUAUAUUCUUACAAAGUUCAAUUUUUAUAUGUUGGUUCUUCAAAAGUCCUGAUGUUUUCAAAUAUAUUCCUACCGUUAGAAUCCGUUAGAAAAAUUUAGUUAACAAUAGGUUAAAUACUUAAUCCUGGUUAGUCAAUGAGAUGAAUUGACCUUUUAUUUCUUUUUAAUUAACAGUUGGGACUUUUGAAGGGACAUAUUUGUGAUGACAAAAAAAGUAUUUUAAGUAUAAAAUAAACGGUGUUUUAACGAUAACAAAUAAGAGGGAUAUAUUUAAAAUAUUAAGACUUUUGUAGGGACAACAUAUAAAAGAUGAACUUUAUAGAGGUAUAUUUAUAAUUCAGCAUAUUUGUAGGGACCUGUAUGAAAUUAACUCUUUUUAUUAUUGUAAACAUUAAUUUUGUACAAUAUAACAACUGGUGCCGAUUUUUUUAUUAUCUUGAUUAUUUUGUUCGUAAAAUACUUUGAUCAAGUAAUAUAUGUGUUUUCGUCAAGCCAAGUUUUUUGGACAGCUCAUCGAGUUAACAGUUGAUCUAGUCAAAAAUACAUUCGAUUCACGAAUUGGCUUGUUGGAUGACCCUCGAUAGUAUCAAGAUCAAGCGAUUCUAUUGAGAAGGGUUCUCUCUCAAUGCGUAAAAAUUUUUGUAGAUGAGGCGAGAAUUGAUUCGACUGAAAUUAGAGCAGAAAUAAUUGCUUUUCAUUAACUAGAGCUUUGCAUAUUACAAAGAAAAGAACGCUGGGUUUCCAAUUGUAGGAAAGACUUGGCGAAAAACUUAAUUACAAGAAGACUAAAGGCUAAAAACUUAGAUUUAAAGCUACUCCUAAAAAACCUAUAAAUGCUAAAAAUAAAAAUAAAAAAUAUUAAAUCAUUGACCGUCCUAGCACAAGUGGCUAAGGAUUUGGUGGUUAGUACCUAAAGUCUCGAGUUUGAAUCCUAAUUGAUUUAUAUUUUUAGGUAAAGUUUACUUUUAAAGGCCAAUUUGCAUAAAAAAUUCAUAAAUUUUGAGCUUUUACAAAACUGGGCCGCCUUUUUUGAUUUUGCAAAUUCAAUCCGAAUUUUCAGCAAACUGACCAAAAUACCCUUAUUACUUUUUCUCUCUCCUCUUUCUCUCUCCUCUUCUUUUCUCUUGUUCAUUUUUUUUUCUCUCGCCGAAGAAAGCAGCGGAGGCGGAGGCAAAGGCGGAGGCGGAAACGGCCCGCCUCGCCUCUCAUCCUCAUGGUCUCGCCCUCACCCUUGCCCUCGCCCGCGCACCCCCCACCUUCCUCGCCUCCGACUCCGCNUUUUUUUUUUUUUUUUUUCUCUCCGACUCUCCUCCGCCGUCUCCGACGACAACGUCUCUUUCGCCCUUCCCCGCCCUUCUCGUCCUCUCCCUCUCCCUCUCCCUUCUCCUCUGCCGCCUCCGACAACGGCGCAUCUUCGCCGAUGCCGACACCGACACCAUGGAGGUCGCUGCGGCGCUGCAACCUCGGAGCGCGGGGUCCUUAGCGGCGUCGCCGCCGGCGCCGUUGUCACGCCCCGGGGCCGAUUUUAAAAGCCUUUUAAAAACAGAGUUGCGGAAAACGUGCCAUUUUUUUUUUUUUCUCAACCUGGCCCACGCGACGUACAGACCCGCCACAAAUACANAGCCAACUUCUCACCGCGGCUUUUCCGGAAAAUCGAGUUACUAUUCACUUUAAGUGAAACUUGGAAAUCGCGUAGAAUUUCCGUUUUAACUCGUUUUCGCCCGAAACUUGACGAGUGCUUUUGUAAUUAAAUUACACACAAAAACAUCGUCAACUGAGAGUUUAGCUACACUGCAAAAAUCUCAGUCCUUACAGCCGUGCCCGUUGGCAAAGAGGGGUGACAAAAAAAAUUUAUAGAAGAAGCAAGAAAAAAAAAUAAAGAUAAAAAAUUAUAGAAAAAAAAGAUGAAGAUGAAAUUGCACCGUUAAAAAAACGUUGCACUAUUAUGGAUAUAAGUUGCACUAUUUAAAAUGUCAACUGCAGCUUUAAGAUGAAAAUUACACUCUUUAAACAAAAAUUGCACUCUUUGGGAGAUAUUUACAAUGUUUCUUCUCUUAUUGUACUCUUUCAGAUGUAAACUGCAUCCAUUAAAAUAAAAGUUACACUCUUCAAACGAAAAUUGCACUCUUUGAGAGAUAUUUAUACUGUUUUUUCUCUUCUUGUACUUUUUGAGAUGUAAACUGCAUCCCUUUAAAAGAUAUUUAGACUGUUUUUUCUCUUGUUGCACUAUUUCUCCUCUUGUUGAACUAUUCCUUCUCUUAUUAUACUGUUUCUUCUCUUAAAGAGUGUAGUUUAAGAUAAGAAACAGUGUAACAAGAGAAGAAACAGUACAACAAGAGGAGAAACAAUAUAAAUAUCUCAUAAAAAAGGGGUGCAUUUUACAUCUCAAAGAAUGCAACAAAACGAGAAACAGCGUAAAUAUCUCUCAAAAAGUAUAAUUUUCGUUUAAAGAGUGUAACUUUCAUCUUAAUGGAUGCAGUUUAUAUCUGAAAGACUGCAAUAAGAGGAGAAACAAUGUAAAUAUCUCCCAAAGAGUGUAAUUUUUAUUUAAAGAGUGUAAUUUUCAUCUUAAAACUGUAGUUUACAUCUUAAGUAGUACAAUUUAUAUCCAUAAUUGUGCAACAUUUUUUUAAAACAGUACAAUUUUAUUUUAAAGAUGCAAUUUCAUCUUCAUCUUUAUUUUUCUAUUAUUUUUUAUCUUUAUUUUUUUCUUGCUUCUUCUAUAAUUUUUUUUUGUCAUCCCUCUCUGCCAACAGCCACGGCGCCGUCGACGACGUCGUUAAGGACUCCCUGCUCCAAGGCUGCAGCGCUAUAGCGACUUCCACGGUGUCAGCAUCGGGGAAGAUGCGUCGUCGUCGAAUGCGGCAGAGAGGAGGGAGAGGUAGAGGAUGAGAAGGGCGGGGAAGGGCGAGAGAGGCGUCGUCGUCGGAGACGGUGGAGGAGAGUCGGAGAGGAAAAAAAAAAAAAGAGUCGCGGGAGAGAGAAAAAAUAAUAAAGGUAUUUUGGUCAGUUUGCUGAAAAUCCGGUCCGAAUCUGCAAAAUCGAGAAAAGUGACCCACUUUUGCAAAAGCGCAAAACUAGUGGAUUUUUUGUGCAAAUUGGCCACUUUUAAAUUAAAUAAACAUCACAAUUUCUAACUGUUGCGUCCAAAAAUCUAUUUAUCUUCGAGUAUUCUUUUCCUUGAGUAUUCUUUUCAGGCUCUUUCUAUUUGGCCACGUGAGCCAAGCACAUGAUUCAUAUUUUCAACUGUUGCGUCCAAAAAUCUAUUAUCUUUGAGCAUCCUUUUCAGGCUCUUUCUAUUUGGCCACGAGAGCCAAACAUAUGAACCGGGCCGGCUACCAGCUGGCACCUCUUUCUUUUGCGCCAAUAGUAUGAAAUCUUGUUCAAAAUGAUCUGACACAUUUUUUGAAAUUUAAAUUUAUCAUUUAUCUUUUAGUUAAUAUAUUUUUUAAAAUUCACAUAACUAUAAAUUGAUCAAAGCAAGCAAAUUAGUUUGAAUUUUUGUAUCUGAAAAACCAUCAAAUCACUUAAUCAACAAAUUGAAAGGUUGUGUGUACUAAAAUCAAAAUUUUGAAAAAAAUAGAUAGUCUCGUCAAAAUAAUCUACAAUUCAAGUUAAAUUACACAUUAUUAUUUUAAAUAAUAAUAAUAAUAAUAAUAAUAAUAACAAUAAAAAAAUAUCAAAUUAGACUUUAGUCUAUCGAUUUUUUGAUUUUGACUCAACAAAAGCUAGCAAUCCACCUCGCAUCGACUCGUCAGUAAACAAGCUGAAUAACCGACCGUUUUUAGAGCAAGUGGCAAAACGCUUGAUGGUUCGUACCUGAGGUCCCAAAUUCAAAUCCUAAUUGAUUCACAUUUUCCAUCGGAUAGCAUGUAAUCUAUCUCUAAAAAAAAUAAAAUAAUAAACAAGCUGAAUAUGAGCUAAAUUUUUUAACUAAAUAUUUUAACGAACCAGCAUGUGUUUAGGUCAUUUAAUAAACCAAUAAAAAUGAGACGGCCACAACUGGCUUGUGUUCGGCUCGUUGACGACUGAAGACGCGCUUGACCUACCAUCGUCAGACUGUCAUGCUCGGAAGACGUAUUUGCCGGACGCCCUGGCCAUGGAUUACUAAAUCAAAGUCUUCAAAUAAGAUUUCGUGUGUGACUGUCAGACUUUGGUCCGUAUCACUCUUCCUCUACAAUUCAAAGAGUCCAACUCCCAUACGAAAGGUAAGAAAAGCUUUUUUUUUUUUUUUUUUUUUGGUAUGUCAGGUUGUGGUGUGCAAUAGACUACUAAUUGUAUUUAGGAAUAAAUUUCAGAUAUUAUUUCUAUAGUUUUAUACUUUUUUACUUUAGUACUUUGUGGUUUAAAGUGCAUCAAGUUAGUGUCAUGUGGUUGCAUUUUUAUUUUCUCACUAGUUUCUCCGUUAAUAUUUCGUUAAAUUAUAUAAAAAAAUUUAAGGUACUCCACCUAGAUUUAUCGAAUAUUCACUUUAGUACACUUUAGUCUUUACUUUGUCACUCAUUUAAUAAAAAAAAUUAGUGGAAUUAAUCGAUAAUAAAAAGAUAAAAAUGAAACCACAGGGUACGAAAUUGAUACACUUUAAACCACAUGGUAUUGAAAUGAGAAAGUGUGAAACCACAAGAAUGGUAUUUGAAGUUUUUCCUUGUAUUUAAAAUAAUUGGCUAAAAGCUUGAUGAUUGAUAUAUGAGAUCUUAAGUUCGAGCUCUACUUAUUUUAUAUGUAUUAUUUUUUUUAAAAAAUGAACAGAGCUGAUAACUCUCAAAAAAUAUUUCGUUUAGAUUAAAUUACCAAAUCAAGUUGAUGAAUUUUGAUUGGUUCAGUUCAUUUUACACAUAAUUCACUUUGGUUUGAUAUAAUAAGUUGUAAAUUGAAAAAAAAAAAAACCAGAACUAACAAUUUUUUUUAAUAAUUUAAUGACAUUAAUCUUAGAUUACAAUUAAAUAAUUGGAGAGUUUGAUUAUACCUUUUUUUAGUGGUUUAACAAAUUUAACUUCAAAAAAUUUAAAAUCGAAUAAAUCAAACGGAACUGAUCGUAUUGUUCCGAUUCAAUUUAUGUUUCUAAUUUGAUUCGGUUCGGUUUUGAAAGCAAUCUCCCAAAAGCCGAACCGAACCAACCGAAGCUCAGCCUUAUUCUUAGGGUGUUUUCUGAAUAGGAUGCUUCAUACCUUAGUAAAUACAUAUUUUCUCAAAAUUUCUUUUCAUGAUGAUAAUUUUUUUUUUAAUUUGUUAAACUAUUUUUAAUUGAUAUUUUGAUAUUAAUUAAUUAGAUAAAAUAUUAUUAAUUUAAAAUUAUAAUUACUUUUGUUUUCAUUAUUCUAAUCUAUCAUCCAAGCAUUGUUUAUCUUGUUUCCUGAAACAACUUAAUUUUCAUCCAACCAAAAAUUUACUAUAGUUCUUGCGGAUCUGAACUUGUACCUAUUUCUGAAAUAAGCAAUUUUGCCUGAGUGCGCAUCAUGUAUAUGAAUUUUUAUAAAUCCUAAAACACAAAGCAUCUUGUAUAUGAAUUUUUAUAAAUCCUAAAAUACAAAGACCGUAAGAUUUACAACCGUAUAUAUAUAUAUAUACAGUAAGAUUUAAUUACAACUUUAUACAGAUAUAUAAUUAUUCUUUUUAACAAUAAUGCUAUCCUUACACCAUCGGACUAAAUAUACAUCUUAUUCUGCCGUAUGAAGUCCAAACAAAGUUAGUUAAUUUACGAAUUAUUCACGAAUUAUUGAAAAUUUAAAUUAAAACAGCCCAUAUGUAAUUUAUUUCCAAAAAUCAGAAUAAAAUGCGGAUUUUUAGGUUAGAUUUAUUAUUCACGAAUAAUUCGCAUAUGCUGAAUUAUUCGGCCCAAAAAACGCGCAAAACUAUUGGAUAAGUUUUUUUUUCCCAAAUUAUUCGCGAAUUAUUGUUGAUUAUUCAUAAAUUAUUGAAAAACUUCAUGAACUUUUGGAAUAUGUGUAUCAUGAAAAAGAUGAAGAUGGAGGCGAUAAUAAAAUUUACUAUUGUAUUUUUUACUUAAUCUACUUUAUUUUAUAGCUCUCUAUUUUUAUAUUCUUAAAAAUUUAUAACUAUAUAUGCUAGUAGUAUAAAUAUAACGAAAAAAACUUAGUUUAAUAGCCGAAUUUUUUAUCGCGAAUUUUUAAUUGAUAAAUGUAUAAUUUUCGUAUAAAUCGCGUAUUCGAAUAAUUGGCGAACCCAUUUUUUUAACUAUAUUUCUGAAUGAAUUUAAAAAUUAAAAUAUAAAUUUUAUUUGAAUUAUAUUUGUACUGAGUUUUUGUCGAAUCCGAAUUAAUUAAUUACGAGUCCAAACUUGACUAGCCAAGUUUUGGACACCAGCGGAAAGCUUUUCUCUUUCAAACCCAAAAAAAAUUUAGUGGGAACACUAAGGGUGGGAACUAGUGUUCCCACCCCAGGGUGGAACAAGCUGGGAUAACCCAGCUUGUUCCACCCGUGAAGAGAGAGAGUUUAGUGGGAACACUAAGGGUGGGAAUUAGUGUUCCCAUCCUAGAGUGGAAAAAGCUGGGAUGACCUAGCUUGUUUCACCCUUGAAGAGAGAGAGAGAGAGAGAAAGAGAGAAUUUUUAAUUUUUUUUAAAAUUUAAAUUUCGUAAGUUAAAAAAUUAAAAUUUAUAAUUUUUAAAAUUACAAAAUUAAAAAUUAAAUUUUAAAUUGUUUAAUUUUAAAUUUUAAAAUUUGAUAUUUUAAAUUUUUUAUAUUUAGAAUUUGAUAUUUUAUAUUUUUAAAUUAAAAUUUCAUCUUAAAUUUAAAGUUUAAAAUUUAAAAUUUUAAUUUUUAAAAUUGUAAAUUCGAGAUUUUAAAAUUUUAAAAUUUAAAAGUUUAUAUUUAAAAUUUUAAAAUUUAAAAGUUUAUAUUUUAAAGGGAAAACUUCAAAACCCCCCCUGUGGUUUCGUGCAUUCUCACUUUGCUACCCUGUGGUUUAAAACGUAUCAAUUUGCCCCCCUGUGGUUUCGUUUUUAUCUUUUUGUUAUCAAUUUUAUUAUUAUUUUUUUUUAAAAUCAGUGACAAAGUUAAAAUUAAAGGAUACUAAAGUGACUAUUCGAUAAAUAUAGAUGGUUAUCUGAAGUUUUUUGUAUAUAAUUUAACGAAAUAUUAACGAAAAGCUUCCGAAAAGAUAAAAUGAAACCACAGGGGGUAAAUUGAUACGUUUUAAACCACAGGUAGCAAAGUGAGAAUGCACGAAACACAGGGGGGUUUUUGAAGUUUUUCCUAUUUUAAAUUUAAAAUAUAAAUAUAAAAAUAUAAAAUUUAAUUUUUAAUAUAAAGAAAAGGAUAAUAUUAUUUUUUUUUAUUUAAAUAUCGACACUUAAAUUUUUAUUCCAUCUUAUCUAUUCAAACGCUAUUUUUUUUAUUCUAAAAAAUAACCUAAUUUUUAUCCAAAUGCAAAAUUAAUUUAAUUUCUGUUUAUAUCUCAAUUUAUAUAUAUUUUUGGAAGAGUCAUUUUUUUGUUUAUCUUCCAACCAAACGAUGCUUUAAUUACAACGUUGCCGUAAUCAAUGCCUCAUUGGUGACAUGCACUUCAUACAUUGACCACGUACGCACAAAAUUACGUAUCCUUUGACGCGUUCAAAUUCUCCACUUCCUUAUAGAGAGGGAGAACCUCUGUAUAGAAAGAGAGAGGAGCCGUAUCAAACUCAUCAAACUUCAUUUGAAAAGGAGUCAACGCCCCCCUCUCUCUCUCUCUCUCUCUCUCUCUCUCUCUCUCUCUCUCUCUCUCUCAUUUCCACUAUUUAAGGAGAGACCACCUUAUAUCGCAACAUAAAGUAAGCUGGAUUACGCAGUUCAAUCCCUUGAGGCUGUGGAGAGAUCUAUAUAUAUAUAUAUAUAUAUAUAUCAUGGAGAAGAAGAUUACUGAAGCCGGAGAGACGACAUUGAAGAGGCCGACGCCGUCGCGGCCGGUCCACGGCCAAGUGAGGAAGAUCAGGCAGGAAGAAGACGAGAGGGCAAAGGAAGAGCUGCUGUCGCUGCCGCCUCCGCCGCCCGCCAGAAGGCCCGUCUCGCAGUCUCCUCUCGGCCGGGCGGGCCGCGUGAUCUCCGUCGGCGAUUGACGGACAAUUGAUCGAGCUGAACUGCUCAUGCUUUUCAGCUGUUUGGUUACAAGAUGGAAUGUUCUGCAGAGAGGCUUCUUGAUUCUUAUCUUUUAGUUUUACCAAUCUUCUUGUAAAUAUAAAUAAUAUAGGUGUAGGCAAUUUGAUCUUAUACAACUUUACCUUUCUUUUCUAUUCCGUGUGAUACUGUAGGAAGAACAUAAGAUCAUAUUGUAUUUUUUGACAGGUGACAUUAAUUAGAUCAUAUUGAAGAGUUUGUUUUGAGAGCGCUCUGUUUUUACGCUUUGCCUUUUCAAGUCACCAGAAUCUCACUUAAAGUGGGAAUCCAAUCGGAGGUGCAUACUGUUAAAGAAUGCGAAAUAACAGUGUUUUUAAUUUCUAUACGAAAACACUCUCCUUAAUAUUUGAGGUCGAGAUUUUUUUUUUAUUUUUGAAAGAGAGAUAGAAAUGUGUAUUAAUUAGGAUUCGAACUUGAAAUUUCGGAUACCAACUACUAAAUCCUUUGUCACUUGCUCUAGAAAUAGUGAGGUCAAGAUAUUUUUAUACAUAUAAAAUAUAGACUUCAAUUAAAUAAGAAAAAAUUAAUAAUACUAGAAACUGAAUGAAUGAAGCGGGUAGCGUGCUAUUUUUUUCUCAAAAAAAAAAAGAAGAAAAAUAAUACUAGAAACUUGGUAUAGUUAGCACUGAGAAUCUCGAGUUUAGAUACCGUGUUAAAAAAAAAUUAAUACUAUUUUCUAACGACUUAAAUUUUUUUAAAUCACAAAAUUAAAAGUCUAUAAAAUUUAUGAGUCGUGCAAGCUAAGACGAUUCGGAGCUUUCUCUGCAUCUUACGAGGGGAGCGGACUUCACUUUUGCAUUAAUUGCUCUCGAGACUCUCAUAUAUCUACUCCCACAGAAAUCCUUUUUGACUUGUCUUGGUUACUACGCUCUGUUUUGUUGGCUCCAAUCUAUUUUUUUUUUCCUUUUUUUUUUUAUUUUUAAAGAACGAUAUCUAUUUCAUUCAUUAAAAAAAAUAAAUUAAGCUAUAAUAGUGAGAUAGAGGGACCUCCGAACGAUAUCAAAAUAAUUUUAAAAAUUAAAAAAUUAAAAAAUUAAAAAAAAAAAGAAAAAAAUUUAAAUUCCAUUAAAUUCUAGGCCAGAAUACGCUCGUUUAAACACGCUGUUCUCCUCCCACUGAAGCUUCAAACGUCUGAUCGAGUUGACAGCUAGCAAGGGUUCAGCAUUAGCCAUCCUAAAAAUAACGGCAUUCCUUACCUUCCAGAUAACUCACCAACUGGCUGUGAGUCCAGUCAUUAUGUUUCCAACCGAUUGAGCACUAUCCCUUGCCAUCCGUUUAUUCCAUACGUAUAUUACAUCAUCACCCAGGUCCCCAACCUGAAUCCCUUCCACAGCCAUGCCAAUCAAGAAUCUGCUGAAUCUUCCCUCAGCAUCAAUAUCUAUAGAUAUAGAUAUAUUAAUUUUUCAGUUUUACUGUGGCCGACGUGUCACCUCCUCAGCGCCCCCCUCCUCUCGCGCCCCUUCGAAGCGUCCCCGCGUUUGGCGGGGGCUUCGAUGGCCCCCACAGUGGGGGGGGCGGCAGCGGCGGUCACGUGUGCGGGACCCCGCAGCGGGCGAGCUGCAGCGGCUAGCGUCGGGCGCGGGGCGGGCGACACGUGGCUUCGGCGGACCCCACAACGGGGCUGGCGGCAGUUUGCGCGGGCGUCGGGCGCAGGUCGCGCGCCCUCUCUCUCUCCUAUCGGGUGUUUGUCAGGUCUCCCUCUCCCCUCCCCUGGCUUUCUCUCUCUCUCUCUCUCUCUCCUCUCCCUUUCCCUUCGGCUCUCUCUCUCUCUCUCGAUUCCUCUCUCUCUUUACCCCAGAUUCCUGCCCUCUCUUUCCCCAACCCCUCGGGCCCCACCCCCCGGGCUCCCUCUCUCUCUCUCUCUCCCCUCGCGCGUGCGCGCCCGGCGCGGGGUCGCCGGACAUGGCAAGUCUUCCCCCCCGCCGCCCCCGUCUGUUUCCCUUCUCUCUUCUCCCCCUCUCAUUCCUCUUCCUACCCCCUCUCCUGCUCCUCUCUCUCGCCCACCCUUUUUCUCUCGCUCCCACAUUCCCUUGGCUUUCUUCUCUCUCUCUCCCUCUCUCUCCCCUUCUUUUUUUUUCUCCCCCCUCAGGCUCUCUCUCUCUCUUACCCACUCUCUCCCUCUCCCUACCCCACCCUGGCUCCCUCUCUCUCUCUUGCGCGUGAGCGCGGGGCCUGCCCGGGCGCGCGCGCGUGGGCCAGGAGAGCGGGCCGAGUCAGAAGGCACGGGCACGGCGCGGAGCGUAAGCGAAAGCGGCGUCGCGGAGAGCUAGCGCGCGGCACGGGCACACCGUGGAGCCGAAAACGCGGCUCAUAGCCGUGGUUCUCACGGGGUCGCGAGGCCGCUUCGCCCUCGUGAACCACAUGAGAGGGAGCGUCCAACGGUGGAGCCUCCGCUCUCCAUUAUAUAUAUUAUAUAUAUAUAUAUCUAUAUAUAUAUAUAUAGUCCGGCUACUAUGUUAUUGAUAGCACGAAGCACUCGGUGCUACCAAGUUUUUCGCCGUUAGAUCUACUCUUUUGAUCAUUUUCACCCGUUAGAUCAUAUUAUUCAACCAACCACCCACUCAACCCUAGGGGGCUCACAUCAUCCUAACCGCACAUCUCUUAAUCCAAUGGCUAAAAACUUGGUAGCACCAAUGACUUGGUGUCACGCCCCCGGGGUCCCUUUUAGUUCAAAGCAUAGCGGAAAAGCAUCUAAAUUUUUUUUUUUUUUUUAAAAGCCUGACCCCAGAGUGUGCCAGAUCCGCCACAAACACAGGAAAUUCACUGUUCACACGGACAGAGUCUCCCCUGUAUUUGCACGGCGUCACACAAGUACAACAGAGUAUGAAUACAAUCACAACCACAACCAGAUGAACGACAAGAUAGAUAACAUUCAUCCAUUCCAUUCGCACACACAGAUAUGAUACUUGAGUUAUGAAUAACAUUCCACAUCUAUCAGUUAAAAUGUUUCCUAUCUGGAAACUGAUUUUGAAAUACUAAAUCCAUAAAACCACAGAAAAUCAAUUUGAAAACUGUUCCCCACACGGGAACCAUUCUUUUUCAAAACCAGCUACCACGAGGGGUAGAAAACUGUUUUAUCUCAAGAAAACCAGAAAUCCAUUUAAUACAAUUUGAAGUCCACUACCUCAGGUUAUUCCAAAGUCGGAGCAAAACUGAACCAUAAAUGAACUAAAGUAAAUACGAAGAGUGGCGGGUGCUAACGCAGCUAGACACGAUCCUCACCAGCUGUCCCGCUCGGACCAGCUAUUUCACCUGAAAAAGGGGCGGGGAGUGAGAACAUGUAAACAUGUCUCCCCUCCCAGUGGGUACCGCAAGCCGGAGAGGCCGAGAGGUACUCACUAGUCACGGAGAACUAGAUAGAUAUAAGUGUUGGUAAGUAAAGAUGCUGAUAAGUAGGGAGCUGACAAGUAUAGAUGCAGGUAAAUAAAAUAGUAGCUACAAUAAACAGAUAAGGAUGUACUGGAAAUAAACACUACAGCUACUGUAUGCAUGCGUCAACUGACGAUAACCUCAAAAGUACCCAAUCUCGUUGCCCUAUUAGUCUGAAGACCUCAGGCCCAUGCCACACUGCUCACCCUGUACCUGACCCUCGCAAUGAAGCCCCUGGGUCAGAAGCAUAGUACCUGACCCUCGCAAUGAAGCCCCUGGGUCAGAAGCACAGUACCUGACCCUCGCAAUGAAGCCCCUGGGUCAGAAGCAUAUACCCUCGCAAUAAAGCCCUUGGGCUCACGGGUUGGCAAUCCAACCACUUUUUCGGAAAAGAACACCCUCUUGCGGUGGAUCAGACCGCUGGUGUUCGUGAAAUGCGUAUCUGGAGUGGCGAUCAAUGUAGUAUGCUCAAAGAUCAUCCAUCCGCAACUAGCCGACAAUCCAAGCCCCUCAGGGCACAUCGACCGUAUAGGUCAUCAGCAACUAGUCGGCUACGUAUGUCAAGAUAGAACUGUAGCAACUCGACCGAAUAGGUCAUAGAUAUCAAAAUAGGGGAACCGCCCAACCAAAUCACAGAUAUAGUGAACAGAUAAGUCAACUCUACUUCUAAGCAUGAUAUCGACAUGGAAAUAACUGAGUAGAGGAAUGCAGAUAUAAAUGCAGGUGCAAGGUUCAAUAUAACUGUAAGGUAGAGUAAACAGUAGGGGUGAAGAAGCGUCACCGAGCGUGCACCACUGUACCGACUACGGGUCGAAGUACCCACCUGUACGUGUCUGACGAAGGUCUCUCGACUGUGAAGACGGUGCAACCGAACCUACGAAAGGUCCAACGGGUUAGGAUCUAACCCACUGACAUGCAACGCUAUCUCACAACCCCCAAUCAUAGCCCCACGGAAUCGGUUUCCCAAAACCGAUUACGAACAUGCCGGAAGUUCCGAAAAUCGCACCGGAACUCCCCCGUCGCUCACCCGUCGUUUCCCGAACCCUCGAAACGACAUGGGUGACCAGCCAACAAGACUCAGCGACGCUACAUUCAACCACAAGGCGCCGUCGGAUGAACUCCGAAUCGAAAACAUGUUCUAUCGGUGGAUUUCGUCGAAAAAUGCUCCGAAAACUACUUUUCGGUUUCCGCAAGGGUUUGGGGCCUCGGACGAUCAGUCCAGAGGUUAUCCUCAGCCCAAACAUGCUGCCAACAGCAGCCACAACGAAGCAACAAUCAUAAAAGCCCAUAUCGAUACAUGAAAUCGCAACAUUUUAUGUGUUUUCAAGGCUUUUCUGGAUCGUGCACGCAAACCAAAGAUCAAUUAAGCGAAUCAUCGCGCUCGCUGAUAGAUUUCAGCAUGACGGAGGCUGUGCUCACCUUUCGGAGCACUGCAGGCCGCUGGGGUGCGCGUACGAGCGAUGCGAAGUUCUGUUAAUCUGCGCGUACAGCCGGAGAUCGCGACUAACUCACUAACCAGGGCAUCUUUGCUGCUAUCGGAGGUGAGCACGAUGUUCAGCACGAGUUGUAGAUCAUCGUGCUCACUUCCCGGGGUUUAGGUGGCUCAUUGGAUCACCGGAAAGGUGACCGGAACCUCGGAAAACAGUGCUGGAACAUAAAAUGUCCUUACCAGACCCGAGGAGAGCUAGGGUUGGUCGCCGGCGGCCGGGAGGCGGGCGGUCCGGCCGGAGGAGGGAGCAGUCAGUCCAGGAGGUCCGGGGAAAGACGGUGCACCCCUUGGUGGGCGGCGGCGACGCUUGGAAGCUGAACGGACUCGGCCUCAGCCCGCACGGUUCCAGGCGGCCACAGGAUGUUGCAGUAGCGGCCGGCGGCGCGCGGGGACGGCGGGGGACGUGCGCGCCGGGCUGCUGGAGGUCGCCGGGGCCGACAGGAGGGCGGCGCGGCCAAGGUGAGGCGUGGACGCCGAGUUCAAACCGGCUCGGUCAGGGCUGACCCGAGCUGGUCGCAGGGAGCAGGGGUGGCUCCGGCGGCGCUCGGGGGUGGCCGGGGCCGGCGGGGGAAGACGCCGGAGAUGGGCUUCGGCCAGAGGAUGAUGCUCCAAGGGGUGAAAGAGGCUUCCUUCGCAACUUCGGCCAAGUUGGAGGAGAGGGUGGCCGAGAGAGCAAGAGAGGAGGUCGGGGUGGCCUUUCCGGCGGCCGGAGUAGGUCGCCGGCGGCUGGGGCGUGCGCACAGGUUGGGCAGGGUGGUGCUGAGGCGGCUAGGGUUAGUUAGGUGAACGUGGGCAGUCAAAAAGUCAUGGGAAACCCUAGAUGCCCAUUUUAUACAAGGUGACACUUUGCGAGGAACCCCUCCAAAGUCUAAUAUUUACAUUCCAGCCCCUGCCAACGUGUGGAUUAGGCGUAUAGGUCCCUCUACAUUCGAAUUCGUGCAAGACCGCGCAUAAAAUAUUGGACCUUAUCGCGAAUAAUCAAUUUUGCACAUUGACCUCUCAACGGACUUUUCACGAUUCCCGAAGAUCCGUCCAUCGGAUUUCUGAACGAUUGAGCCAGCGCGUUCAGCAUGACUGGGGCAUCGAAUCUAGCAUUUAUUUCAUCGAAUUUGGUCUUCGAUCAGCGACGAAACAUCCAUUUCGUUUUUCACCAUAUAACCACUUAUGUUAAUACAUAUAAUUUCCAUUAAACCCCUUUUUCUCGACAACCUGCAUCAGAAACCCAAUUCCGUCAGUGUCAUGGGUCCAGAAUGGUCGAGCCAUUCGAAAUGAGCUAUUGGAUCGCUAUGAACGGAGUCCAAUACGCACCGAAAGCCAACUCUACUCCGUGGCUUCACCGAAAAAAACGGCAUUACUAUUCACUUUAAGUGAAAACUAAUAAUGCGUAACUUCUCCUUUCUAGCUCAUUUUCUCCUGAAACUUGACGAGUGCUUAUGUAAUUAAAAUACACACAUAAACAUCGUCAACAGAGGUUUAGUUGCACUGUCAAAAUCUCAGUCCUUACACUUGGUGCUAUUAAUAGUAUAUUAGCCUUAGUUAUAUAUUAUAUAUAUAUAUAUAUAUAAAUAUUAUAUAUAUAUAUAUAUAUAUAUAUAUAUAUAUAUAUAAUAUAUAUAUAUAUAUAUAUAAAAUUUAUUUAUAACAUAUAUUUAUUAUUAUAUAUUAAUAUAUAAUAUUAUAUAUAUUAUAUAUAAUUUUAUUCAAUUCUAUAUAUAUAUAUAUUUAUUUAUUAUAUAUAGUACUUUGUUUUUAUAUAGAUAUAUUAUUAUAUAAUAGUUUAUUACAUAAUUCACUAUUUAUUUUUAUAAAAUAUAAACUAUAUAAAUAAAUAUUAAAUAAUUUAGACUAUUGGUAUUAGAUAUAGAUGUAAUUUUAUAUGUGAAGGUAAUAUAAGAUUUACACUUAUAUGUAGAUGUACAGAUAGUAUUUUUUGUAUACAGAAAUUUGUACCAUUAUAUAUGCAAUUAUAAUUCUUCUUUUCUAUUUAAUUUAGGGGAGAAGAUGAAUCAGUACAUGUACAUCAACAUUAUUCUUUGAAUGAGCUAAAUGACUGAUUCUUUUGUCUGUAGGAAUAUAUUGCGAACUUUUGUACUAUAUUAGUCAUUUACUGCCUGAGCCAUCUUUUGCUUCUAACUUAUGAUAACCAAUUAAUCUACUUAACUCUUAGGUGUAGGCUUAUAUCCACAAACAAAUAUGCAAGUUUGUCUUUGUUUGUUUAAUUAUUUGUGCUCAUUUUACGCUGGAAAUUGCAAACCCUGUUGGUAGCUUAGUGCAAAAUAUAUAUAUACUUUGAUUUAGCUAUAUUUUAAUUGAUUUAUAUACAGGCCGUAUUGAUGAUUCUCCUGUCAUGCUUGCCAAACGUCAAACUUUUAUGAAUGCAAGUGCUGAGUCUGUAAGUAGAUAUCUCUAACUCAUCCAAAUUAUGUACAACUAUCUGAAGCAAUUCUUUUUAUUAUCCUAUUCCAAUUUUAUGAUGCAAAUUGGGGCUUCUUUAUGUAGGUUGGUUCGCUGGUUUCAUAUUACAAGAUAUGACUGAAUCAAGUACUUCUGGUAUAUAUAUCAUAUUGUUGUUAUGCAACUAUUGAUGUUUAGUUUUUACUAUUAGUUUUUGAUGGAUUUUUAGUUUUGUUACUUUGUAGAUGUAUGGUGAUUUGGAUUUACCUUUUGCAAAAUUGCGUCUACUAUAAAAUGUCGAAACUUAAAAUUUUAAUUUUUACAUUUAAAAGUGAAAUUUCGACAUUUAAAAUUUAGUAUUUGAUUUUUUUAAAUUCAAUUUGUAAUUUAAUAUUUAAAAUAUUGAAUGUUUAAAUUUAAAAUUGAAACUUAAAAUUAAAAAUUGUAUAUUUUCCCUUAAUUACUAAAACUAAAUGUUAAAAUUUUUCUGUUUUAAAUUUUAAAUUUUAGUUUCUAAAUUAUAGAUUUUAAAUUUUAUACAAAAAUUAUAAAGCUUAAAAUUUUGAAAAUUAUAUAUAUUAAUUUGUUGAAAUAUACCAUGGAAUUUCAGAUUAUCUAGCUGAAUUCCUAAAAAUUCAAAAUUACAGCGACAUAUAAAAGUUUAGAAUUUAAAAAAUUAGAAAUCAACAAGACUCUAUAUAAAAUCAUAUAUUCAAAAUAUACAAACUGAAUUAAGAUAAAAUAUAUUUUUGGAAAUUUUAAUUUUUAAAUUGUUAAUUUCAAAUUUUAGAAUUUAAACAAAAGGGAAUUAGAAAUUUUAAAUUUUAAAUAAAUUACGUAAAUUUUUCGCCGCAAAGCGCGGGCCUAUACUAGUAAUCCUAUGAAUCGGCAACCCUAACGGAGCCCUCCCCGCAAUUCGCGCUCUCCGCCCUCGCGUAUGGCGCGGCGGUCCCCCUCCCGCCCACCUCACACCACCCCCCCCACCGGCGAUCCCCCCUCCCCCCCCCCCCCUCGGUGCUGCCCCUCCCCCCCGUCUUCGGCCGGGAUGGUCCGCUCUGACUUUCCUCCCUCGGGAACGCAGCUGUCUUUCCCCUACGGGGGCAACCCUAACGGAGCCCUCCUCUCGUUUCACGCUCUCCUCCGUUUUGUACGGCGCUCUUCCUCUUUGUCUUCGCCAGGAUGGUCCGCUCUGACUUUUUCGUCCUCUCCGCCUUCGCUGUUGUGGUCGCCAUCCUCCCUCGGGAAUGCAGCUGUCUCCCCGUACAGCGCGGCGUUCCCCCCCACUCUCCUUUCGUCCUCUCUGCGCAGCCGCGACGCCGUGCGGCAUGGCGCCUUCCCUAUUCUGUUGCCCGUCUGCCUAUCCCGUCCGAUUUCCGUACAAGCGGGGGUUGCCGUUGUGCUGUCGGCGAUAUGGGCCGCGUCUUUUCCUCAGCCGCACGUGUUCAGCUGUCCAGUCCGGCGUGGCUCCUCCCUGUGAUAUGUGGUCAACAGGCAUUAAUCAAGGUAUAUAUCAUGACCUUCUUUUUUUUCCUAUCCUGUUGUCCUCCGCGAUCGCAGCCCACCUCCCGUAGGGCAUGGAGCUCGCGUGCUCUCUCUCUCUCUCUCUCUCUUCCCCUCCUGUGUAUGAUUUCCUGUGGGGCUUCCAUGCGGCUGCUCAUCUUUAUCCCUCUGUGCUCUCUCUCCCUGAUUUCUCCUCUCUUACUGUGCUCUGCUUGCUUUUCCUCUCUCUGGUUAUUAUAAAUACUAAAGAGGCUGGUAUUUUUUUUCUCUGCGCAUUUCUAGUUCGCCCUGAUUUUGAACCCCCUGUUUUUGGAACGUUGUUGCUCUGUCGUUCUUGCCCUGUGGUGCUUUUGAGCGUUGCAACUGAUCGAUGGGUAAAAACAAGCAUUCGGAUGCUUCAUGAUUUCCCUCCCCCCCUCCCUUUUUUUUCCCUCUUAUACUUACUCUUAUACUUUUUUCCCUGCAUGUUGGUGUGUUUGAUUCUGUGCAGCAAGUCUGCACAUCUGUGGCUCCUAAGGUAUUCUGUCAAAUUUUUCUCCUAUUUAUUUGGAACACUGAAGUUUACUUACACUGAAGUUUUAUUCUCGAAAUUAUAGAAGGCUGGGAAUUGGUAGAGAAGGCUGGAAUUGACGUAAUAUAAUGAUUGUGCUUGUCUCUACACUUAAAUGAGCUAAAUUAGAGAAGGCUGAAAAUUUGGAGAGAUUUUUUGCAAAAAUUUGGCUGCUACUGUUUCCUCCAGUUUGCACGAUUGCGCCUCACUGCUGGAACCUCCUCACUCCCUCUCUAUCUUCCCCAAUCAGCCACCCUCUCUCUUUGCUUCACUGUGAUCAAAGGAGCCCUUAUGUUAUGAAUAGUGGGAUGUUGUGUUAUUUGUAUUUGGUAGGUCACUCUAAUUAAGAGCAUCCGGCACCCCUUAAUCCUAAAGGUCUACUUUCUCCAACUUAUUUUUGUGGUGGUUCCAACAGAUUGUGUUGUGAAUUUCUACUGAUAUUCUCUUUUCCUGUGUUUGCCAGGUUGCCGCAGCGAACCUCUCGGGAAUUUUGGUCCGCUCAUCUCCUUCUUUCCAUUGUGCUCCUUUGCUUCCUACUCUAUUUAGUACGAUUCCUCUACUUACCACUGCUGGUUCUGACACAUUAAUGUGUGGUGCUACUUUAUUUACUGUGAUUUCCUCUCUUAUGUUUUGCUGUUAGUACAUUUGAGUUGCUAUUUUCAAAGUGAGAUUUUGGGUGUUGAGUGUUCGAUCCUAACUCCCAAUUCAUGUUUUUUUUAUAGAAUGUGUUUCUUCUUUCCCCUCCCAUUUAAUUUUAUGUUUUGUUCUUACUGAUCUCCUUUGACAGAGAGUUAAGCUUAAUUACUUGCCUAUACAUCUCCUAUUUAUUGCUUAUUUUUUACCUAUUUGUUAUUUGCUUCUCCCCCUCUUUGUAUGAUGCUUUUGUUCAGGUGAUUUUCCUUGAUGAGGUCUCAGUGCAGUGAAUGCCUACUUGCUUGCUUCUCUGCCUUCUGUUUGAUGCUUCCUUCGUUGAUAGAGGUGAUGAUGAUUUCCGCAAAAAAAAAAGAAGAAGAAGAAGAAAGGAACAAAUAAAAAAAAAUUGUUGACCCCGUUCUUCUACUAAAUUAGUUACUGAAUUACUUACACCAUUACUCCUCCAGUGCCCUCUAAUUUUUUUAGUUGUUCGUUGCUGAGCAUAAUUUGCAGCUUAGCUAUUUUUCAUGUUGGAGAAAAUGCAUAUAUUACUAUGUGGUUAUCAAUUUUGCCCCCUCACUAUAUUUCUUGCUUAUUUUCUCGCUACUCUCCUACAUUGCUUCAGAUUUUCUACUUACUUUUAUUCUGCUACUAUUUUUUUUACUAAUUAUUUAGUAAUUUUACAAAUUUUUUGUGUAGAUAAUUUUUUGUUCCCCCGAGGGAUAUUAUACAAAUUUUUUACAUGACUGGUUUACUAUGAGGUUAUCAACUUUUCCCCUUUAGAUUUUAUAUAUAUUUUUAUUAUGUUUAUGAUACUAUAUUUUUCCUUUUUUGACUAAUUAUUUAGCUUUUUUACAAAAUUUUCGCCUAGGUGAUUUUUCGUUUCCACGAGGGAUAUUACACAAUUAUUGUGCAUGGCUAGUUAGUUUUGCACAAACUUGGUUCUUUGGAUCCCUAUUCUUCUUUUAUGCUCUACAUGGUAUAAAUUGAUUCAUAGAGGCAAUGGUGGUUUUAACAAAAUGAAAAGAAUUGUUGAUUACUGUUUACUGCUAAUUUAAAUCGGACUUUUAAAAUUUUCAUUGUUUGUUCCUACUUUAUACUGAAUUAAUUUCAAUAUUACAUUGUAGGGUUAUCCUUCUGCUGUGUCUCUCUCCUUAACUACCCAAUUUUUUUUGGUUGCCUCUAUUUCUAUGCUAUUUGUUCCUCCGGUGCCAUCUAAUUUUUUAGAUGCUUUGUUGCUGAGUGUAGUUUGCAACUAAAAUAUUUUUCAUGACAGAGAAAAUGCAUACAUUACUAUGCAGUGGUCAAUCUGAGCCUCUUCCAAAGUCGCCUAAAAAGAUGCUAUGGGUUUUACUUCUUAUUUCUUUUCCGCAAUACUUCCCGUGCUUACUUUCUCGCUACUCUCUUACAUAACUUCUGCCUUCCUAUUAACUUUUAUUUUGCUACUGUAUUUUUCUGCUUCUUUCCCUAAUUGUUCAGUUUUUAUACAGAUUUUCUUCCUCAUUAAUUUUCUAUCUUUGCCGAGGAGUAUUAUGCAAAUUUUUUGCCUAAUUGUUUGGUUUUUCUCAAACUUGGUUCUUUGCAUCCAUGUUCUUCUUUCAUGUUUGCAUUAUAUGAAUUGAUUGAUAAAGACAAUGAUGGUUUCAGCAAAAUAGAAAGCUACACGUUGGGAACAAAAAAGGAAUUGUUGAUUACCCUCUUCUGCUGGAUUACUUCAGAUCUUUUGAAUUUCCAUUGUUGGUUCCUAUUUUCUACUGAAUUACUUUCGAUAUUACACUAUGGGGUUAUCUUUUUGUUGGCUUUCUCUCCCUUUAACUACCUGAUUCCUUUUGGUUGCCUCAAUUUUUGUGCUAUUUAUUCCUUCAGUGUCCUCUAAUUUUUCAAAUGCAUUGUUGUUGAGAUUAGCUUGCAACUUAACUGCUUUUUCAUAGUUGAGAAAAUGCGUAUAUUACUAUGCAGUGAUCAAACCUUCUGUGGGUAGGCUUGGAUAUAAAAGGUAAACUCUGAUUUAAAAAUGACAACUCUACAGCUGAUAUGAAAAAUUUAGAUGAAGUUCUAUUUGCAGAGAGACAAUGUCUUAGGUAAUAAUAAUUCAAAAUUUUAUUCAUUCAUAUUUAAAAGUACUGCAGUAAAACUUUCUUUUUAUUUUUCUCUUUUUUUUUUUUCGCAGGUAUGCUGAUGAUGCUCAAAUAAGUGAAGACAAAAAAUAAAGAAUCAAACAAGUGAAGUGAAGACAAAUAAUAAAGAAUCAAAUUCCGUAUAUGUAAGAAAUGGAACUUAUUUAGAAUUAUGUUAUGAUCCAGUUUUUAGCUAUAUAAUUUACUUAGACUUUUAACUUCAUGCUUUUUUUAAAUCGUUAGUGUACUAUCCAAUAGUGUAUAUCAAUUGAUUUGGUAUAAAAUUGAGUUCUUCUUUCUUGCUUAAGCUAUCCAUGUAUAUAUUACUCACUCCUUGCCCACGUUAAUAAAUUACUGUUGUAUUAACUUCCCGCCGCAACGCGCGGGUCCCCUUAACUAGUUAGAAACCUAGAAAGAUUGGAGAGAGAGAGAGAGAGAGAGAAUAUUCUUGUAGACAUUUUGGUUUAUGCUUUGUGGUGGGAGUAGAGAUCGGGUUGCAUUUUUCCACCUCCACAUCCUCACUUUCUACCUGGGCUAUCAGCUAGCCCAGGAACAGAAAAGGAAGAUGAUCCUUUCUCCUUCCCUCUUCUCUCUAAGUGACUACCCAUCUCAACUUCGAAACUUUUUAGUUUUAAAAGCCUUAAUUUGAACUUAAACAUGCUGAUCAUAGAACAGAUGGAAAGGACAUAGAUACAUUGUAUUAUAAACUACAAAAUUUUUGCGCUCCUCGACAGCAAAACAAUUCCUUAUUAUUUUGCAUUGUAAGUUUUUAAAGCCCUUCAUUGUCCCACACCAUCUAUUGUAAGACAUCUUUUAAGUAGUACACACCUAUCUGACAAGUGAAAUUGCUCUACACUGAUGAUGCUGCAACUACUGAUUAACUGUUAAAAAUUAGCGCUAAACUUAUCUUUUUUUGUUUCUUUUUGUUUACAACAUCAAUAAGUGUAUUUGUAGGAGCCCAAUAAUCUAUUGUUUAAAUUGACCUUUUUUUUUUGCUCUUUUUGAUUCAGGUUGACUUGUGGCUUAUUUUUGGAUAGUGAGCCAAGUUGGUACGGACGAAACCAGGAUUCAAUCACGAGGGAUGCCAAAAUAUAUACAAAAAAAAUAUUUUGACAGAUAAAUAAGAUUUUAACUACUCAAAUUUUUAAUAAAAAAAUUUAGUGAUUAGAUAUUUAAUGUUAAAAAAAUAUUAAAUUUAUUUCGCUAAUUUACACUCGCUUAACUUCUAAUUAUUUUAUUUACAUUAUUCUAAUCAAAUAACUUAAGAAUUUUACUAAAUCUAAUAGUAAUUUAGUUAAAAUUUAUUUUUUUAAAAUUUUUGUUAAUAAAAUAAUAACAACCAAUGACUAAUAUCUAACAGAACUAUUAAAUUUAGCAUACUAUUUUAUUUAGUUAAAUAAAUUAGCUCAUCAAAAAUAAUUAGAAAGUUAAUUAUUUCAAAGUACUUAAUUAAGAGGUCCUUAGCGUAUUUUCACCUAUAAAACACAUAAGAAAAGAGAGAGCUCUAUACUAGCACUAAAAACUUUUUACAAGAUAGGCCUAUAUAUUUUAAAAAUUAACUAAAAAUUUAUAAGCUACUAAAAAAUUAUAAAGUAAAUAUUGAAAAGUGCAAGUUGGGCCACAUAGGUAUAGUUAGGGGUUAAAAGAAAAUAGGUUAAGUGAGAAAACCAGCUUCUCCUCUUUUUCUCCAUUAUUUCCUUAUUUGAUGUUUCUCGCCGGAGCAAGAAAAGUGUCAAAGAGGGUCAAAGGUGGUUGGAAUUUUGCUAGGUUUGAGAUGGGUGACAUCUAAUCUGCCUCUUUUCCUCUCUUGUGAACAUCCAUUGUGUUGCGUGCCGAAUGUCCCGAUCCUUGACCCGGUCAAGUAUUCUCCUCGGGAAGGGCGUCGGGAUGAUGCGCGGCCGCGGAUUAUGACCCUCGAAGUAUGCGCCCACAGAGGAUCAAGCGAUUAGGCCGAUGAGGGAUCGGACCAGCCGGGUUCAAAAACCUCUGCAGUAAAUUCGCUUCGGCAGGAUGAGCCGAAUGGAGAAGGGAAGCCCAGAUUUCGACUAAAAGAUGAGCCGAAUGGCUAAACAACUUAAGAUCUGAUCGGCAGGAAGAGCCGAAAAUGACUUUUUAUUGAUUAGCAAACGGAAAGAGUACAGGAACAGGGGAGUGAUGCCCGUAGGGCAGACAGACUCCGAGUAUGAGAAUAGGAGAGUGAUGCCCGUAGGACAGACAGACUCCGAGUAUGCUAAAUUACAAGAACUACUCCUAGGGAAAGCAGUAAAUGCGAGAAUAGAAAGAUGCAGGAAAAUAAAGGUGGUCUUUUGUGCGUAGAGGCGAAGACCCUUUCUUAGGGUGCCGUAUGCCCAUUUAUAAAGUUGCCCUUGCGUUCAGUUAUCGUCAAUGUACGAUCGGCCACUAUCUCCUGAUUUGUAGGACCACCUUCGGCCGAUUGGAACUGCUCAUAACCGCUUACGGUUGCUACGCUUUUUGAACAGACGCGGCUCAUAUCUUCUGGCGCGUUUUAUAUACUCCCGGUCCACCAUUUUGACAUGGACCAUGGACGUGGUCCCGGCUUGCCAGCUGUCCGCAUUGAAUUGGCCCAACACAUUGUAAUGCACUUUUGAUUGAAGGUUUAUUUAAUAUUUUUCGCUUUUCCAUUAUAUGUUGUCUUUAGAUACUUUUAGUGAAGUUGAUAAAAUUCAUAUGUAGAGUUAUUUGCGAUUAUUUUUGUGAACUUUUUAUUUCUCCAUUCUUGUAUUCUACUGUGGUUGUGCGAUUUUG